ACUUAUACUUGUAAACUGGAGAUGGUGGGGGUGGAGACUUGUACUUGUAAGGGUGCUUGGGUGGUGAUGGUGGUGGUGGUGGGGACUUGUACUUGUAAGGAUGCUUGGGUGGUGAUGGUGGUGGAGGUGGAGGAGACUUGUACUUGUAAGGAUGCUUGGGUGGUGAUGGUGGAGGAGGUGGUGGAGACUUAUAGUUGUAAACAGGAGUUGGUGGGGGAGGAGAUUUGUACUUGUAAGGCUUCUUGUGUGGUGGUGGUGGUGGAGAGUAGACCGGAGGAGGCGGUGGUGGAGACUUGUAAUGGUAAGGUGGUGGUGGGUACUUCUUAGGUGGUGGUGGAGGAGAAGAAUAAGUGUAAUCUGCUGAGGUUUCAAAAGGCAAAUUGAGAGACACUGCUAAAACUAAAAGAGUGAGAAAGAGAGAGGUCAUUGAUGACCCCAUUUUCCCCAUCCUUACUUCUAAAAAUGGGUUUAAUUUGGUUAUGCUCUUAGCAGCCCUCUUCACUCCCUUUAUAUAGACUUUGUUUUAAAGUUACAAUCAUGAUAAAAGUGUGAAGGUGGACCGAACCUUCAGCAGCAUUGAAAAAAGACGUUACGUUUAGGUUAUUAGCAUGGUAUGACAUAAUAAUUCUCUAUUCUCUUCCUUGUCGUUUCCCAUAAAUUUAAUUUAAAUAGUCCAUUUGCUAUAUUUAUAUUUCUGUUUCUCUAUUAAAUAUUUAUCAAAUUCAUUUCUCACUCCUUAUAGAAUAUGAAUAAUUAAUCAUUAAACUCGAUUUAGUAAAUACUUUAAAAAAUGAUUUAUCUUAUUUUUAUGCUUUAAUUAAGGCAUCAAAUCAUUAAUCCCAUUUGAUAUUAUGAAAAUUUAUCACUUAAUUGAUCAAAAUGUGAUUCUUGGCAGGAAAACAUAAUUUACUUUCCUUAAAAUGUAAUUUUUAUUGAGAGUUAUUUUUCCACUAACAAUAGAAAGUGAUUCUCUUUAUAAUUCGUGAAAAAAUUACUUUCACAUGUAAAUAAAAAUUGUUAGGAUAAAAUUAACUUUUCUUUUAUUUAUGUUAAGGUUACUAAUUAACUUAUUCAACUUUAAUAAAAGAUAAACAUAGUUGUAGCUUGUUUGUUGAUGUUAGUUUUUUGUCUUUACAACUUCAAACCAUUAUUCUAGUGUAAUUUUUUUUUCUUUCUAAAUAGUAGAUAAGUAUCUAUAUUUUAUUUUGCUAUAAGAAAAUUAUAUUUUUUAGCAUACAAAACUUAAGAUAACUUGUAGAAUCAAGUAGUUGUAUACCUAUUACUCUAGCAAUAAUAAUAUUGACAUUGUCUACUUUCAAAUUAAAAUUUCAAAUUAGUUCAUUGCCCAAUUUUCUCAUUAAAAAAAAUUAUAUAUAACAUGUCAACUUAACGAAACUUACAUGAAAUUUUGUAUGUGUUAAAAAUGAAAAAUAUGGCGGUUAUUAAAAAAGAUGUCAUACAUCUAAAUCAAACUACUAAUUUAAAAAUUAGUAUUGAGAUAAUUUCAAGCCAUAUAUGCAAUAUUUGAGUAUACUUGAACUUAUACAUACAAAUUAGUGAGGAUUAAAAUUUUGUAAAUUGUACAUCUUCACAAUCUUGCGUUAAUAUACAAUUUUUUUAAUGUAUUAAUAUAAUGUUUUAGAUCAAGACGUGAAAAAACAUAAUUCAAAUAUUUGUUAAUAGUAAAAAAUUAUUAAUAAAUAUUUAAUUCAAAAUUUAUUAAUAAUAAAAAUUAUUGAAAAAUAUUAAAUACGUUAAUAUUAUUUUUAUUUAAUAAUGAUACUUUUGUACAGUAAUCUUAUAUUCCCAAAUAAGUGUUAAAUGUGUCAAGAUUUUAAUCAAUACUUUCCGGUGAUUACCAAACGUUGUGAAGUAACUUCUUAAACAAUAAUAUUCUUAUCAAUCACAUUCCAUUAAAAUUUUAACAUAGAAAAGCACCAAAACGCCCCCUUAAAAUCGUGGUAAGUCUUGUUUGUCUAAAAUUUAAAUAUUUAUUUUAUUAUUUAAAAUAUAUUAAUUUUCUAAAAAAAAUCAUUAAUAUUUAUAUUUCUAAUUUUAAACAUUCUUUUGUUAAUUAAAUGAUAGUCUAAACGGUUAAACUCAAAUCGAAAGCAUUUUAUCUUAUAUUAGAUUAUAUGAAUCAUAUUAUGGUUGAAAGUAAAAUGUAUAAAAUCAAUACAAACAUCAAAUAUUAAACUUCCACUCAAUAGAUUUUAAAAUUUCUAAUUUUAUCACUAAUCUAUUUUAAGAUUUUUUUAAAAAAAAUCGUACUUUAGAUUAUCUAAUUUAAAAUUUUAUAAAAUUAUUAAAAAAUAUUCUUGUAAUAAAAAAAAUUUGUUUUAAAAUUUUUAAUUUUUUAUAUAACCAAUGAAUUUUUUACGUUUGUUUUAACUGGUUAUCUAAACAAAAUAAAAACUUAUUUAGUUUAAAUAAAGUGGUAAAUGUGAAAGCACCACAAAUCACAACUACAUUAGUUUUAUAAUUGGAUUAAUUUAAUCACCGGCAGAGGAAAUGUGUUAGUUCUAGCUACCAACAAUUCAUUUUAAUUCCUUUAAAAAUAUUAGAAAAAACCAAUUUGAUUUUUAAUAAUAGAUCUAAUUACUUAAAGGAACAUGGGUGAUGUGCACAUGGCAUACAAGCAUAAAAAAGAACAAAAAGAUUAAGUAUCUUUGCAAAAUAUCUCUCUCUGAAAUAAAUAAAACUUAAAAAAAAACAAUUUUAUUAUCAAAAUAAAAAGAAAAUAGUGUUUUUCUUCACAAAAAAAGAAAAGAAAAGAAAUACUAGUGUUUUUAAUUAAAAUAGAGUGAUCUGGGUAGAAUCUUUUACUUAAAUACUGACAUUGACUUUAUAAGCUAUUUUUUAUCAAAAGAAGAAAGAGAAAAGCAUCCGAUUGAAGAUGUGAAUUAUUAAGUUAAAAUUAAUCAUACAUGUAAAAUAUUAUUGUGCUUUUUUCUAGCCCUCCGAAAGACAUUAUGCUUUGAUUACAACAUUCUUCCUCAGAGAUGAGGUUUGAAGAUGAACUCGGAUGCAUUUAGAUUUUUACAAGACGAAAGUAAAUUAAAGGAUGUUAGUACUUGUAUUCCGAUACGCUUAUAAUACAGAAAGCAAGUAAUAUGUGACUGUACAUAAUGGCUAUGAGGCGAGGAUAUGAUACGAGAAGAUAGAGAUGAGAGAUUGCACUUAAGGGGUUAGCACCUCUUUUCUUUUUGUGUUUGGUCCCCAAAGCAUAUCUCUUAUUGGCUGAUGUUGCAAGGCGGUCCCAUAAGUUGGGCUAAAAGUGCUUGAUAGCUAGAAUUAAUAUUGUGGUAUAACAUAUGUCACCCCUAUAUUUGAAUAAGGUUACAAAGUGACUACUUGAAGAUUUAAAAAAGCAUGGAGAUAAUUUUGUUGCGAAAAUUAAAAGUAAGAGCUAAAUUGUUUGGCUUUAUUAGAGUAUAGACUCUGUUAGUCUAUUAUCAUUUUGUUAUAUAGGCUGGAAUAUUAUUAGUAAGCAGUUAGCAGCAGUUAGUCAUACAAGUAUAAAUUCUAUUCAUGUAUUGUUCAAAGAUAAGCUAAUAAUACCAGAAGAGAUUUAACAUGUUCAUUCUACUUUUUUUUGUUAUUCUUCAUAAUACAGUUGUUAACAUGGUCUCAGUCGCCAAAUUUCUUGGAGGUUGCUUCUAUUGUAGAUCCAUGGCCAAUUCCACUGAUUCUACCUUCGCUGGUCGUAGCAGUCCCUCAUUCUCAGUUCAUGUUUGGUUCAAUCGUUUCCUCGUCAUGGCACUGUGAAGUUAGAUGAAGGAAAUUUUGUACAAUGGCAACAGCAUAUCCAAUUGAUAAUUGAAGGAUAUGAACUCAUAAGAUUUUUAGAAGGGACGUUACCUGCUCCGCCUCGCUUUGUGUCAUCUCCGGAUGGAAACUUAGCUCUGACUCCCGAUGCAUCCCUGUUUGUUCAGCAAGAUAAGUUACUCGCUUAUUGGUUACUUUUUACGAUUAGUGCUCCUUUGUUUUCUUGUUUUACAACUGCUAAGACGGCGUGUGAGGUUUGGAGCACUGCGAAUUGCCUAUUUGCUGCUGCCACUAGAGCCAAGCUUUCGCGUAUUAAGCAUGAACUCCAGUCCAUCACGAAAGGCGUGAUGACUAUCAAAGAGUAUAUUGCUAAGAUUCAAAAUACUUGUGCGUUACUCGAGGAAUCUAGAUCAGUGGUUUUAAAGGCUGAAAAGGUAGAGAUCAUUCUUGCCGGCCUAUUGUCUGAUUAUGAUGUCGUUUUAACUCUGGCAUCGUUCUCAACUGAAACUUUUUCGUUAUAAAAGAUUGUUGAUAUGCUUCUGGAGUUCGAAAGCCAUCAGACUCAAGCGGUGAACGACGUACCUUUUCAUGCUCAUUUGGUAGAGGCCACUUCGGCGACAUCCGUGGAGGACUCCGUACGUGGUGGUCGUCCUCCUUCUGGUGCUCGUAGGCGCGACUUUCGAUCUCAGCUUCAGUGCCAGGACUAUGGUUGCUAUGGACAUUUGGUACAAUGCUGUUAUUAUCAGUUCAACCGCGACUACAGUGAUCUGUCUGUUUUGACCAUGGCGCGGGUUUCGCCUGUUCAUGCUGAUCACAAUUAGCAUAACGAUGUUUUUGGCGCAAGUGGUCUCUCGACUAGCUGGUUUUCAUCAACUUGUCCUGGUCCGGACCCGUUCGUGCCUGGACAGUAUGUCGAUUCUUUGGUGGUGACACCGGCGUAUUUCUCUUAUGGCUCAUCAUGGUGAGGGUGGCCACAUUUGCAAAACAAUGCCUCCCUUGUGCCAAGUUUGUUGAAUGUUAAGGUUUCUAACCCUUUUGCUCAUAAUUUUGACGAUGGGGCAGGCUAGGUGUUUGGGCUCGCUGUUGGACCAAGCUCAAAUUGUGGCCAAUUUGGUGGUCCUCACUUACCGCGGAGAAUGGGCCAGCACGUUAGGCCAUUUGCUAGUGUUCCUAGGCCGACUGGUUCAGGCCAAGAUUUUGGGCCAUAUGGAAUUCGUAGGCUAACCAGUGCUGGUCCUAACAUUGGACAGGGUUCACUUGGGCCAAAUGUUAAUUUUGUUAGACUUGAGGGCUCUUUUGGGCAUGGACAAGGACUUUGGCCCACCACUGGCAAUGUUUCAGUGCCAAAUAAUGGGUCAUGCGUUCCAUGGCGCACUAAACUGACGGCGCACAUUAUUGAUUGAUUUCUCACUGUGUGUUGGGUUGCCUCACAUUCUUGAUUUUCAUGUGUCUGAUAUUUUUACUACCUCUGGGUCCAAUGCUAACACGACUCCGUAUGGGUCUAAUUUUGAUAAUGAUAACUCUUACAUUCCUAUGCCUGUAGGGACCUUGUCCUGGUGUCUUAAUUCAGGGUCUAUACAUCAUGUCUAUCGAGAAGCCUCUACCUUGAACGAGUCUACGCCAUACUCAGGUACAUCUCCUCUCCUCAUGGAUGAUAUUACUCCUACAAAAAUAUCAUGUGUUGGAAACUCUAUCUUGCCUACGAAGACUAAGCUGUUUCAUCUAUCUAAUGUUUUGUGUGUGCCAAAUAUACGGAAGAAUCUGCUAUCUGUCUCUCAAUUUGCUAAUGACAAUAAUAUGGUCUUUGAAUUUCACCCGUCUUAUUGAGGACAUCCAGACUCAGGAAAUUUUGCUUCGGGGCCACACUCGUGAUGGGCUCUAUUAUUUUUCGUAGGUUACUCAUGUUCCGUCUGUCGUUGUUCCUUCUGUUCACAACACUGGGCUCCAGAGUCGCAAUGCCGGUGAUGAUGUUUUUACGUUAUGGCACUACAGACUUGGUCAUCCGUCUGCCUCGAUUGUUAAACUUGUUCUCGAUAAGUGUCAAGUUGUUUCAACUAAAAUGUACCUUGAAAAUAUUUGUAUUGCUUGUCAAAAGGGGAAGUCCCAUAAACUGUCUUUUUCAAGUUCUACUACUAAAUAUACGGAUUUGUUUGAAUUGGUUGUCUUUGACUUAUGUGGACUGGCAUCUGUUGUCUGUAGAAAUAAUCUGUAUCAUGUUUCGUUUAUCGACAUGUGUAGUUAUUUUACUUGGAUUUAUCUCAUUAAACGUAAUUCUAAGGAGGUUGAAUGUUUUCUUCAGUUUCAGAAAAUGGUCAAAACUCAGUUUGGGAAAGAUAUUAAAAAAAUUCAAAGUGAUUGGGGUGGUGAGUUUCUUGCCUUUACGUCAGUUCUGGCUAGUCAUGGGAUACUUCAUCACCUCUCCUGUCCAUAUACAUCCGAGUAGAACGAUGUAGCUGAACGAAAACAUCGACACAUUGUUGAGAUGAGUCUUAUUCUAUUGGCCAAAGCUAACCUAUCCAUGGAUUUCUGUGGUUUCGUAUUUUACAAUGCCAUUCAUCUCAUUAGUCUUCUACCGACCCUAGUUCUGAAAGGUCAGUCUCCAUAUCAGGUUCUUCAUGGUAGUGACCCUACAUAUGAUCAUUUACAAGUAUUUAAGUGUUGUUGAUUUUCGUACCUGCGUCUGUUUCUGCAACACAAGUUGGAUUUUCAUUCUCAGCCAUGCAUAUUUUUUAGGUAUAGUUCUCAACAUAAAGGCUAUCACUGCCUCACACCAAAUGGUAAGGUCAUUGUCUCUCGUCAUGUUGUGUUUGAUGAACGUUGGUUUUUCUUUUCUUCAAAUGCUGUGAACACCGUUCAGUUAAGUCCAUGUAUCUCUACAUAUGUUCCUAUUGUUCGGUCUUCAUCUUGCCGCCCCACGACAUCUUCGCUUGUUCGACCCACUGAGUCAUCGACUCUUGCUCCUAAUUGUAGUUCCACGCUGUCUGUUUCAGUUGACACUCCGGCUGAAUUAGGUUUUACUCAUGAGGUGCAUCGGCUCUCUACCUCAUCCCUUGAAUCUCGUCAAUGCGAUCCAACUACAAUUCCAUUGGCUGUUCCAUCUAUUUCUCUGGAAUACUCAUAACACUAUUACUCAGCUAGACCCAAAGCUCUGUCUGUUGAAAUUGUCAACUGUGAGUCGAUCACGAUUGAAGAGGCGCUCGCUAGUAAGGAAUGGCAAUUAGUUGUCCAAGCUGAGUUUGUUGCUAUAAUGGUUAACUCCACUUGGGAGCUUGUUCCCUUACCUCAUGGUCGAAAAGUGAUUAGGUGUAAGUGGCUUUUUAAAAUAAAAAAAUCCUGAUGGGACUAUCACUUGACGUAAGGCUCGGUUGGAAGCAAAGGGUUGUUCUCAGGUACUCAGGUGUGAUUUCAAGGAAACCUUUAGUUUGGUAGUUAAACCUGCUACUAUUAGAACCAUAUUAUCUGUUGCUAUCUCCAACGGUUGGCAAUUUGGUCAGGUAGAUGUGAACAAUGCUUUUUUAAAUGGUGAUCUUAUUGACGAAGUGUUCAUGCAGCAACCUCUAGGCUAUGUUCAGAUUGGUCAAAAUGGUGAGCCCUUGGUGUAUCAUUUGACAAAGGUGUUGUACAGAUUAAGACAAGCUCCACGUGCUUGGUUUGAUAAAUUGAAACGUUUUUUUGUUUCUAUUGGAUUUGCUUUAUCCAAAUCUGAUGUAUCCUUAUUUGUUCAAGUUAAUUCGAAUCCACUAUUUAUGUUUUAGUCUAUAUGGAUGAUAUUAUCGUUACUAGAAGUACGAUCGACGGUAUAAAUGGCUGUAUUCAAUAGUUACAUAAUGUGUUUCCCUUAAAGAUAUGGGAGAUCUUUACUACUUCUUAGGCAUUGAAGUCACUCGGUAGUCCACUGGGAGUCUCCAUUUGUGCCAACGCAAAUACAUUCGGGAUCUUCUUGACAGUAGUUUUUUAGCUAAUGCAAAGAGUGUUCACACACCGAUGGUUAGUUCUUUUACGUUGUUUAAAGAUGUGGGAGAUCGCCUCGUUGAUCCUACUGGAUAUAGAAGUCUUGUCGGUGUAUUACAAUAUGUGGUCUUGACUCUGCCUGAUAUUGCUUAUGCUAUAAAUCAUGUUUGUCAAUUCAUGCAUGCCCCUACUACAGUACAUUUGGUGGCUUUGAAAAGAAUCUUGCACUAUUUAUGUGACACUAUUAAUCAUGGGUUAAUUUUGUCUGUUCAACAUAUUGUCUUUAGUUGGCUAUGCUAAUGCCAACUGGGGACUGGAUUUUGAUGAUCGUAAAUCAACAACAAGCUAUUGUUUGUAUUUUGGGUAUACACCCAUCUCUUGGUGAUCUAAGAGACAACUCUACUGCGUGAGGCGAAGUAUUUUGGCCGCACCAUGGCUGAGGUGAAGUAUCGAAGUCUAGCAACAACUACCAGUGAUGUUACUUGGUUAGUCUCUCUACUAACAAAAUUACAGAUUCAUUCUAUAGAUCCACAUACUAUUUGGCGUGACAACUCUAAUGCAGUAGCGGUCAUUGCUAAUCCGGUCUGACACUCUAAAUUUAAACAUGCCAAGCUUGAUCUAUUUUUUGUUCGCGAAAAGGUCGCUAAUGGUUCUCUCGUUGUCGGUGAGAUUCUAGCAUGUGAUUAAGUUGCUGACAUUCUCACAAAACCACUGUUCGUCUCUACUUUUGCUAGGUUUCGUAGUCUGCUUCAAUUCUUACCUCUUGAGAAGCUGGGUGAAGCCAGGUGAAUAUUAGAGUAUAGACUCUGUUAGUCUGUUACCAUUUUGUUAUUCAGGCUGGAAUAUUGUUAGUAAGCAGUUAGUCAUAGCAGUUAGUCAUACAAUUAUAAAUUCUAUUCAUGUAUUGUUCAAAGGUAAGCUAAUAAUACCAAAAGAGAUUUAAUGUGCUCAUUCUACUUUCUUUGUUAUUCUUCAUAAUACAGUUGUUAACAUGCUUGAUAUCAUCUCUUAGAGAGAACGAGGAGAGAUAAGAGUAAGAGUAUGAGCCAACUAGGGAUAAGGCUCUACCAUAAUACCUUGGAUGCAAUUAAAGUAAGAGUAAGAGCCAACUUGUUUGGCUUGAUAGCAUCCCCUUAUAGAAAAGGCUCUACCGCAUGGCAUGAGAGCAAUAAAAGUAACACUCAAUUUCUUGGGUUGAUAGCAUCUCCUUAGGGAAAAGGGUUUACCAUGUGACAUGAAAGCAAUUAAAGUAAGAGUAAGAUCCAACUUGUUUGUCUUAAUAGCAUCAUUUAAGAGAAAUAUCCCAAUCAAUUUAUUCAAAUAUGUUAAUCAAAUAAUGCAAGUUACAAUGUUCUGUCAGUUUUUCCUUUAAUUGUAACUGGGUUAAAGUUGGUAGUUGUAACUGCUACUAAUAGAAUGGAUACGGUAGAAAUGGUUGCAAGCAACAUAAGCAAAGAUGACUUUAAUGUCUUUGUAUUGACCACGUGAGAACUAUAGAAUGCAGAGAAUAGUAUGGUGAUUGGCAACAGAAUGCUACUAACCUUGAGGAUAGUAGACAGGGAUGGAUCCACGGGGGUUGGGGGCGGUCCCCCCUUGGAAUUUUUAAAAUUUUAAAUUUUAUAUAUAAAUUAUCAUGUAUUUUAAAUUUGGUGUCCACAUUGUAUAGCAUUCACCCCCCUUUUCCAAAUUGCAUUUCAUAUCAUUUGCCCUCUUAAGCCAUAAGGUUAUACUUUAUAUUAACAAAGUAUUUUCCAUUUUUUAAUUAUAUAAAUUUAAUAAUAAUAAUAAUAAUCAAAUAUUAAUAUAUGAUUGGCAUUGAAAGACUAAACAUAAAGGUCCAGUUGAGACUUUAAAGCCAAAUUCCAUAAUUAAUUAAUUGAUUUGGCCCAUACCAGUACAUAUUAGGUUAGCGAAAUUCUUGUAUUUUGAUUUGUAUGUCUUGCUAAGGAAUUAUCUUCCUUUGGUAAGGUGUUGACACUGCCAAGAGAAAAAGAAAGGAUUUUGAUGUCGAGAUUGUGAGCAUAGAGUAAAAAAAAUACAAAUUAUCUUCCUCUUAGCUCCUUAUGGAAAAAACCUCUCGGUAAAUAUUUUUGCAUAAAUUAUGUUUUUUAUUAAUUUGACUUAGUUUUUUUCUUUUUUCCUAAUACAUUGUUGUUUAAUAUAUUCUUACAAUCAUCAGGUUUUUUGACUAAAUUAUGGUCAAUAAAAACAUCGAAUCUAUUUAAAAAAAAAGAGUGUCAGAAAGCAAUAAUGAUCAACCGGUUCCUCAACCUUCCAUUAUUAGUGAAGAAAAAUCAAAUAUCGGAUCUUCCAAAGCUCUUGAACAAAAUAUCAGGUCUUCUUAAGCCCAAGCUCCUAAAUGCGGUAUGGAGUCUUCCCCAACUCCUGAACGAGAUUGUAACAAUCCAUACCCAAUUCGAUCACCAAAUCCAAGUAGAGAGCGCCGCAACUUAAACCAUAUGAAUUGAAUAAUAAAUAUUUGAAAUUUAUUAAAGUAUCGAGUUCUUGGUGUAACCCUCAGUAUAACAAUACGAAACAAUUAAAUCAAUGAUACGCCAGGAAAAAAUGUUUUUAGGCAAAACACAUGGCGGAAGCCUUACAAAAUUUUAUAAGUUUAUAUAAAAUGUAAGAUGAGUUAAUCCCAUACAACAGUUUCAAGUGCAUCGUUGGCGGUUAAAAGAACAUUCAAAAACUAUUCGGCGUAUAUGCCAAUGAGACAAUCACGUGGAACAAGAUAUAGUAGCUUAAACACAUACAUCACUUACCACGUCAUCAUAACAUAUACUAACCAUAUAAACAAACUUAUCGAGCUGCGAACUAACAAGUUCACCCAAACAUCUAGGGUUAGCGAUAACUUAUUAGAAGAGCCCGCCAAACCCUAGAGUUCGCCAAAACCUGGAGUUCACCAAAUGGCGACUCCCAUAGAAUACGCCAAACACACAACCAAAAAUAAAUACUCUACUAAUUUACUCAUUUUAUAUUCUUAGCAUAAACAACUAUGCACCAAACAGUAACUUGAUACAUUAUCUUUCGGGCGAGUUGUUACAAUUCUCCCCCAUUUAGAAACUUUUGUCCUUGAAAUUCUUACCGGUGAAUAACUGAGGAUAUUGUUCUUUCAUCGAACUCUCUCUUUCCCAAAUGGCUUCUUUUGUAUUGUGAUUUAUCUAUAAUACAUUAACCAAAGGAAUUCUUUUACUUCUCAACUCUUUUACUUCCCUUGCUAAAAUACAAACAGGUUCUUCUUCAUAGGACAAGUUUUGCUCCACUUCCAGUGCUUUGACUUGUACCACAUAAUCUGGAUUGGAUUGAUAUUUUCUUAACAUAGAUAUAUUAAACACAUUAUGUAUAUUUGAUAACUCUGGUGGCAACACCAGUUUGUAUGCCACUGGACCAACUUAUUCCAAAAUCUCAUAUGGUUCUAUGAAAUGCAGACUUAAUUUCCCUUUUUGUUCAAACCUUAUGAUCUUCUUCCAAAGAGAAAACUUCAUAAAUGCAUUGUCACCCACUUCGAAAGAGAUUAUUUUCCUUUUUAGAUCAGCAUAAGCUUUCUGGCGAUCUUAAGUUACUUUCAGAUGAUUUCUAAUGAUAAAGACUUUCUCUUCUGUUUCUCAUACUAAAUCAAGACCAACUAUUUUCCUUUUACUGAGUCUCAUCCAAUAGGUAGGAGAUCUGCACCUUCGUCUAUACAAAGCUCCAAAUGGUAACAUUCCCAGACUGUCAUAAUAACUAUUAUUAUACGCAAACUCUAGCAAAGGAAGAUAUCUUUCUCAAUUCAUUCUAAAAUCUAUAAUACAACCUCUAAACAUGUCUUCUAGAACUUGAAAUACUCUUUCAAAUUGCUCAUCGAAUUAGGGAUGAAAGGUAGUACAGAAUCAUUAUUUCGUUCCCAACGAUUCUUGCAGUUGUCUCCAAAAUCUCAAUGUAAACAUUGGGUCUCGAUCUGAAACUAUGGAUGUUGGAAUCCCAUGAGGCGUACAACUUCAGAAACGUAGAGAUUAGCCAACUUUUCCAAUAAGUAAUUUGUGCGGACAAACAAGAUAUGGGCUAACUUAGUAAGUCGAUCUACAAUUACCUAGACUGAGUACUUCUUCGAAAGGAUGAGAGGGAGAGCCAAAACAAAAUCCAUGGUGAUCUUAUCCCACUUCCACAUAGAUAUCUCUAAAAGGUACAACUUGCCUAAGGGAACCUGAUGUUCUAUUUUAAUCUGCUGACAUGUCAAACAAAUGGAAAUGUACUUUGUUAUUUCUUUCUUCAUUUCAAGUCAGUAAUACAAACUUAUCAAAUUAUGAUACAUUUUAUGUAAAACUCUCAACCCAACUCGAAAUGUCGAGUCUGGAUCUCGGGUAUUACUAUACAUAAUACUUGGCAAAAUAUCAAAAUAGUUGACAAAUACUCUUUAUAGAAAACAUUUUCUUAUUAUUUUAACCAAAAGACUAAAUAUUUAAUAACAAGAGAAAAUAUUAAAAACAAAAAAAAAUUAUUACAUCAGACUUGGUACAACUCAUUAUAGUAUAAAAUUUUGUUAAAGACAUACUCUUGGGGCAUAACCCUAAUCUAAGCCACUUUUCCACUAUAUGCAUAAUAACCCACUUCGCCACUAUCUUGGCGUACUCCUAGCAUCGUCACUCCUAAUGCAUUCUCUACCCAUACACCUGAAAACAACAACAUUUUAAGCUUAAGAUAACUUAGUGACUUUUAUCCCAAAAAUACCUUGGCGAGUACUUUAUAUUAUUUGAAGAACAUUUGUGCGCCAUCUAUCCUUCUGAACCACCUUCUUCUGAAUUAAGUGGAUACUAUUAUAGAUUCAACUUUCACUUACACGCCAACUAUCAUACUCUUAACAAACUCACUUAUUCUAGAAUAGUUGUUCACAUAUAUUAAUCACUAAUUGAUACAUUCAUAUUUGGCGAAUACUUACGCAGAUCUGAAUACCAUCAAACUACUAAUCAAAUCAUACCUUGAUCCGAUACCAUACAAACUCAUACUGAUAAUGUACUACACAAAUUAUUCAAAUGAAUUUUCCACUACUUUGUUACAGGACCCCAGAUAAUCAUCAUAACAAUAACUCAAUUUUCAUAUGAUUUCAGAAGAAGAUAUAAUACAACCCAAAUACGGCAAAUUCCAGAUAACUCAGAUUCAACAACUGCUUAACACAUACGAACUCACAUUUAUAAUUUCUUAUGUCCCACAUAACUACGACUAUGUCUAUAUUCAACACUAACAAAUAAUCAUGACGGAUACCCUUCUUAUACAUAUAUGCAUUUCUUUUCUAGAAAUCUCUUAAGACUUACUCAAUUAUAUCACAUAUCUUAUUCAACCCUUAACUUUAGACAUAUCAUAACCCUAUCAUAUCAAUAUCUAUCACAAAAAAAAUCAGGAUUUAUCCAAAACUUACCAUAAAGGUAGAUAAUCAUAUUAUAUCAGACAAACUUAACUAAAUGUGCCACAAAGGCCAAACAAAAUAUGCCUUAAAGGCUUCAUACAAAAUCACGUGUUUACUAUCCCGACGGACUAUCACAAAAGGUGUCAUGGGUUUCUCCCACAUGGACUUAUACAUAAUUUCAUGUAUUGUGAUCUGCCAUUUUGAAUCAUACGUUAUCGAAGGAUACUCCAUAAGCAUACAUACAGACAUAUCUUGCCAUGUGUCUCAGCCACAUGGCUUAAACACACAUUCAUGUACUGUGAUAUGUCAAUCCAGUCUUACUCUUAUUAGAGCCUACACCAUGAGUGUUUUCAAAUCAUAUUAAGAUGUUGUAGGUCUCAACCUCAUAGUCUUACACUUGUUUUCAUAUCGUGACCUGCCAGUCUAGUUAGCAAUAUAAUUGCCUACCAGAGGCUUCAUAGAGGAACAUUUGCUUAGAUUCACUUACCUAGAUGAUCUGUAACACCCCUUACCCGAGACCGUUGUCAGAGUCGAGCACGAGGUAUUACUUAUCUUAUCUUACUAACUCGAAGCAUAAAAACUUGUUUUAAAAAUUAAUUUCACUAUUUAUAGCAAUUUGUCCAAUCGCGCAGCAGUUACUAAAUUAAUUAUAACUCGAGAUACGGAACUUGAAAUUUAACUCCGUAAAUUUUCCCUGAAACUAGACUCAUAUAUCUUCCUACCAUAAAAAUUUUAGGAUUUUUAGUUUAUCAAAUUAGUACAGUUUAUUAGUUAAAUUCUCCCCUGUUUCACAAAUCGACUGCCCUGACCUCUUAUCACUAAAAAUAAAAUGUAUCAUUGUGGGAUUUUCGUAUAGUGCUACCGCUUGCUUCUACAGAAAAUAGACUCAAUAAGGAAUCUAUACAUAUAAACUACAACUCAUAAAUAUUUUUUUAAAAUUUUUAAUGAUUUUAUAAACUCAAAACAGGGGUCACCAAAAACUGUUCUAACCCUGUCUCACCAAAAUUCACAUAUCUUAAAAUAUAAAUUCCUUUUGCUACACCGUUAUUUUUAUGUGAAAAUAGACUCAACAAGAUUUAUGUCAUUCAAUAUUUAAUUCAUUUUAUACUAUCCUAGGUGAUUUUUCAAAGUCACGUCACUGUUGCUGCCUGAAUUCUGUUUCUUUGCAAAAUUUUACCCUUUUAUGAUUUCCAUGCAUAGUUUAUCACUUAGACUCUUAUAACAACAAACACUUCCAUACUUAACCAUUUUAGCAACCAUUCAUCAUCAAAUACUUACACAUCAUUCUUUAGCAAGAUCAUAAAUACAAACAUUUAAAAUAACUAAAUCCCUUUACAUUCCAUACUCAACAUGGUUCAACAUAAAAAUACCGAGUUGCUGUGGUUGAUAGUGUGGACGAUCUCCGACUUCUUUAGGAUCCUUGAAGUAACCUUGCAAUACUAUAAGAGAAAGAGAAAUAAAAGACGUAAGCAUAAAGCUUAGUAAGUUUACUAGCAAAUAAAUAACAAUAUUUAACUAGAUAAUUAAACUCAAGUGUCUAUAUCUCUAGUUUACUAUUUAGUUAAUCUCAUUCUAGUUCUCUUGCUUGUUUACUUAGUAUACUUGUGUGCAUAACUUACUCCUCUCUUGCUGUAUAGUUGAAUAUCAAUUGAUAAUAUAAUAAGUUAUUAACUCUUAUAACUUACCUGAACUUGCCAUUUAUGUUUUUAACUGAACUUUCCUGAACAUGAUUCGUUAUUUAGCCCGUUGAGCUACAUUGGAACAAUAAGGAUACUCGGGUCUCUUCUGAUAAUAACAUGCCAAAGCCAUGUCCCAGACAUGGUCUUACAUGGGAUGUACUCAUGUCGGUGCCCAUUCCAUAUCCCAGACAUGGUCUUACGGGGGACCUCUCAUCUCGGUGCCAAUGCCAUGUCCCAGACAUGGUCUUACAUGGGACCUCUCAUCUCGGUGCCAACGCCAUGUCCCAGACAUGGUCUUACAUGGGACCUCUCAUCUCGGUGCCAACGCCAUGUCCCAGACAUGGUCUUACAUGGGACCUCUUUACCCAAAUGUCAUGACAUUCGUAUCCAGUACCAUCCUUACUAUUCAUGACAACCGAUAUAUAUAUAUACAUACUCACUAUUCACAAGGACUCGAACGAUUAUAUACUCAUCAACCACCUUAAAACAAUGUUCAUAAACUUAUCCAUUUCAUAUAAACAAAAGCAUAUAUAUUUAUAACCAAUGCAUAGAAUCACUUAAUUUAAACAGAUUCACUGGCACUUCACCUGAUAGGCUUAUAGUUUAAUUCAGUUCACCGGCACUUAGCCUACUAGGCUUGUAGCCUGAUUCAGUUCACCGGCACUUAGCCUGCUAGACGUAUAGUCCGAUUCAAUUCACCGGCAUUUAGCCUGCUAGACGUAUAGUCUGAUUCAAUUUACCGGCACUUAGCCUGCUAGACGUAUAGUCUGAAUAAUUUUACUGGUAAUAAAUCCGAUAGUAAUUUCUCCGUUGAAAUUGAAUUAUAUUCAAUUCUGCGUAACAAACAUGCACUUAAAACAUACUUGCAUAAUUCACAACAAUAAUUUCAGUCCAAAGAGCUGUAAUUCAUAUUCGAACUAUAUAUAUAUAAAUCCAUACAUAAAAAUUCAACUCAAAAUUUAUAACCUAUAUCUUUGAACCACAUAGGUACAUGAAAUUCAAACACCAAAAUCCAGCUCAAUAACUUCAUGAUUCAACCUAACAAAUUUAUGUAUAUAACUUUUUAUCUAAUUUCAAUACAAUAACUUAUACAUGUACGUAUAUACAUAUUCGAAUCUAACAUAUACAUAUAUAAUUUCAUACUUAAAUAUAUUCAAGACUUAUUCAUGAGUAUACAUAUAUAUUACAACUCACAUGUACAUAUAUAUACACAUUCAUACCUUUAACCAAGUCCAAGGCUUUAUACAUGUAUAUGCUUAUAUAUAUAUAUUCGGACCUUAUGUUUACAUAUAUAUAUUAUAUAAAUACCUUUGAUUAAAAACAAGUAUUUAUACAUAUAUAUAUUUUCGAACAUGAUACAUAUAUAUUUAUAUCAUUCAUACUUAAACAAAAUUCAAUCCAUAUACUUUCAAUUUCAGCUCACCAAAUUACUAUAGAUAUACAUGCAUAUAUACUGAUUUAAUAACCUCAAAUUGCUAAUAGACUUACCUCGGAUAUCAGCGGACACGAUCGAGUAUUCGAUUACUUUCGUUUUUCCCCGAUCCAAAUUCGUUUUCUUCGUUUUUUAUCUUAAUUAGACCUAGAGAUAGCCGAACCUUGUUGUUCUCUUUUCUUUUCUUUUCUUUUUCUUUUCUAUAUUCGGCCAAGAUGAAGAACAUGGCAUUUAAAAUUUGUUAUAUUAAACAUAUAUUAGCCUUAUUUUUAAUUUACUAUAUUAACCUUUACAUAUAUAUAACAUAUAUAAUAAGGUUACAUUAGUCCUUUGCCACCCACUAACUUACAUAGUGGACUAAUUGCAUAGUAAAACCUCUAAAUUAUAAAGACAACAAGAAUUAGGUCCUUUUAUAAUUAACCCCUAAAUUUUCAUUUUACGCGAUUAAGCCCUUUUAUUAAAUCGGACACUUAAACGACGAAAUUAAAACACGAAAAUUUCACACAAUCAAAUGCAUACAAAACAAUAUUAAUAAUAUUUUUCUAAUUCAAAUUUGUGGUCCCGAAACCAGUAUUCUGAUUAGGGUCAAAAACCGGGUUGUUACAACUCUCCCCCCUUAGGGAUUUUCGUCCCCGAAAAUCUUACCGGUGAAUAGGUUUGGAUAACGCUCUUUCAUUGUAUCUUCUAACUCCCAAGUUGCUUCUUCAACCCCAUGUUUAUGCCACAACACUUUAACUAACGGAAUUUUCUUAUUUCGUAAUUCUUUGAUCUCACGAGCCAGAAUGCUAAUCGGUUCUUCCUCAUAUGUCAUAUCAGAGUUAAUUUCAAUCUCCGUCGGACUAAUCACAUGUGAAGGAUCAGAUCGGUAUCUACGAAGCAUCGAAACAUGGAAUACGUUAUGAAUCUUUUCUAACUCAGGCAGUAACAUCAAUCUAUAAGCAACCAAUCCAACUCGCUCUAUAAUCUCAUACGGUCCAAUGAAUCUCGGACACAAUUUGCCUUUACGACCAAAUCUGAGUAUUUUCUUCCACGGUGAGACUUUUAAAAACACUUUAUCCCCGAUCUGAAAUUCUAUAUCCUUUCUUUUCAAAUUCGCAUAAGAUUUCUGACGAUCCGAUGCUGAUUUCAGACUGUCCCGAAUCACUUUCACUUUCUGUUCGGUCUCUUUAAUCAAAUCAACCCCGUGUAUCUUAUUUUCACUGAGCUCGGUCCAAUACAGUGGUGUACGACAUUUACAACCGUACAAAGCCUCAUAAGGUGCCAUUUUGAUACUAGAUUGAAAGCUAUUAUUAUAAGCAAAUUCAAUCAAAGGUAAGUAUCGUUCCCACGUACCUUCAAACUCGAGAAUGCAACAUCUCAACAUAUCCUCAAGUAUCUGAAUGAUUCAUUCAGAUUGACCAUCUGUCUGCGGAUCGAAAGCUGUGCUAAAAUGUAGUUUCGUACCUAAAGCAUCUUGUAGUUUCUUCCAAAAUCGCGAUGUGAAUCUCAGAUCUCUGUCUGAAACAAUAGAAAUAGGUACACCAUGCAACCUCACAAUUUGUGAAAUAUACAAUUCCGCAAGUUUAUCGAGCGAAAAAUCUGUACGAAUCGAAAUAAAAUGUGUCGAUUUUGUCAACCUAUCAACAAUAACCCAGAUUGCAUCUAUCUUGCUCGGUGUCAACGGUAAAUCGGAUACAAAAUCCAUCGUGACUCGAUCCCAUUUCCAUUGAGGUAUCAUGAUCGGCUGAAGCAACCCAGAUGGUACCUGAUGCUUGGCUUUAACUUGCUGACAAAUUAAACAUUUCGAAACAAAGUCAGAAAUGUCUCGUUUCAUACCUUGCCACCAAUAGUGCUGUUUCAGAUCGUUAUACAUUUUCGUGCUACCCGGAUGAACAGAAAAUCGACUACUAUGAGCUUCCUUCAAAAUCAUCUAAAUUAACUCUGAUUUUUUCGGAACACAUAAUCGGUUUCUAAAUCUCAAACAAUCCUCAGCAUCAACUAAAAACUCCGAAUCAAUAUUUAAGUCACAUUGAGCUCGUUUUGCAGUUAAAUCAUUAUCGACCUUUUGAGCUUCACAAAUCUGUUGUACAAAUAACGGUUUUGCUUUCAACUCAGCUACUAUCGCACCAUCAUCAGACAUAACCAUAUGUGCGUUCAUUGCACGCAAAGCAAACAGUGAUUUUCGACUUAGGGCAUCAGCAACAACAUUAGCCUUUCCCGGAUGAUAGUCAAUCACAAGCUCGUAUUCUUUCAGCAAUUCUAACCAUCGACGCUGUCUCAAAUUCAGAUAUUUCUGAGUCAUCAAAUAUUUCAGGCUUUUGGGAUCGGAAUAAACAUGACAUCUUUCACCAAACAGAUAGUGACGCCAUAUUUUUAACGCAAAUACAAUAGCGGCCAAUUCCAGAUCAUGUGUCGGAUAGUUUUUUUCAUGCGGCUUUAACUGUCUCAAGGCAUAGGCUACAACUUUGCCUUCCUACAUCAAAACACAACCCAAACCAUUUAAAGAUGCAUCACUAUAGAUAACAAACUCUUUACCCGAUUCGGGUUGAACUAAGACUGGAGCUUCGGUCAAAAGAACUUUCAACUGAUCAAAGUUUUUCUGACACUUUUCUGACCACUCGAACUUAACGUCUUUUUGUAGUAGCUUUGUCAUCGGGGUCGCAAUCAUAGAAAACCCUUUCACGAACCGUCUAUAAUAACCAGCGAGCCCCAGAAAGCUUCGAACAUCAGAGACAUUUCUCGGAGGUUUCCAAUCAAGUAUAGCUGAAAUUUUACCUGGAUCAACUCGAAUACCCGAUGCUGACACAACAUGGCCCAGAAAACUAACUUCACGUAACCAGAACUCGCAUUUACUGAACUUUGCAUACAACUGUUUAUCUCGCAAAGUUUGUAACACAAGUCUCAGAUGUUCAGUAUGCUCGGUUUCAUCACGAGAGUAGAUCAAAAUAUCAUCUAUAAAUACUACCACAAAUCGAUCCAGAUACUGUCUAAAAAUCUGAUUCAUCAAAUCCAUGAAAACAGCAGGUGCAUUAGUAAGUCCAAAAGGCAUAACCAAGAACUCAUAAUGUCCGUACCUCGUUCGGAAAGCUGUCUUUGGCACAUCAGAGUCUUUAACUCGCAACUGAUAGUAGCCUGAUCUCAGAUCUAUCUUCGAAAACACAGUAGCCCCUUUCAACUGAUCGAACAAAUCAUCAAUCCGUGGUAACGGAUACUUAUUCUUUAUAGUCACCUUAUUGAGUUGCCGGUAAUCAAUGCACAUUCUCAUUGUUCUGUCUUUCUUUUUCACAAAUAGAACUGGUGCACCCCAAGGAGAGAAACUCGGUCGUGUAAAACCUUUAUCAGUCAACUCUUGCAACUGUACUUUCAAUUCUUUUAAUUCGGUCGGUACCAUACGGUACGGAGCUAUCGAAAUUGGAGUUGUCCCUGGUACUAACUCAAUACCAAACUCUACCUCUCGAAUAGGUGGCAAACCCGGUAAUUCUUCGGGAAACACGUCUGAAUACUUACACACUACUGGCACAGAUUCAAUCUUCUUUUCGGUCACUUUACUAUCAAGAAAAAAUGCAAGGUAAUCUUCACAACCUUUUCUCACAUACUUCUGAGCCGACAUCGAGGAUAUUAUUGCUGGUAAACCAUUCAGAUCAUUAGAUUCAAUCCGAAUAAUCUCAUCAUUCUGACACCGUAGAUCAAUAGUUUUCCGUUUGCAGUUUACUAUAGCAUUAUGCAGAGUUAACCAAUCCAUACCCAGAAUUAUAUCAAACUCGUCAAAUGGUAGCAACAUCAAAUCAGCCAGAAAACAUAAAUCUCGAAUCAUCAACGGACAAUUCUUGCACACUUUGUCAACCAAAACACACCGGCCCAAGAGGUUCAAUACUUUAAUUACAAACUCAGUAGACUCAACAGGCAAAGUCUUACUGAAUACUAAAGUCUCACACACAUAAGAAUGAGUCGAACCAAGAUCAAUCAAUGCAAUAACAUUAGUAUCAUAAAGAGUGAAAGUACCAGUAAUAACAUCUGGAGAAGAAGCCUCCUCCCGAGCACGGAUGGCAUAUGCUCUGGCAAGUGCACGAGCCUCAGAUCGAACUGCCAUGUCCUUUGUUCCUCUCUGACUGCCACUUACAUUACUCAAUUGCCUCGGCGGUCUACCUCGUACAGGUACUUUACUCGGUCUGGUAUUCUACACAGUGUUUUGCUCAGCUACCAUCGGACACUCUCGAAUGAAAUGAUCCUUUGAACCGCACUUAAAGCAAGACCGAUCAUGUAAUCUGCAAUCUCCAGGAUGCCAUUUCCCACAAUGCUUGUACUCUGAUCUAUUUUGUCGAACACUACCAACGCUAGCAACUGAAGUAGCUCGUGAACUCACAGGGGGUCGAUCUCGAUCAUACUUAGGAAACCCUGCAGUAGCUUUAGAUCGGCUAUGAUCCUCUCUGGAUUUCAUUGAGGUCGACUGGAAUGAUUUACUGAAUGAUCUUUUACGAGAAUCUCGAGCUUCAUAGCCAGCUUUCCUCUUCUCUUUACUGAGCUCCUUAACUUUACAAGGUCGUUCAACAAGUACUACGAACUCUUUUAUCUCAAGUAUACCAAAUAACAGUUUAAUAUCUUCAUCCAGCCCAUCUUCAAAUCUUUUACACAUGAUAGCUUCAGUCGAAAUACAUUCUCGAGCAUAUCUACUGAGUCUCACAAAUUUCCGCUCAUAUUCUAUCACUGUCAUACGACCCUGUUUCAAUUCAAGAAAUUCCUUAUGCUUCUGAUCAAUGAAUCUUUGGCUGAUGUAUUUCUUACAGAACUCAAUCUGAAAGAAUUCCCAGGUCACUCGCUCUUUCGGAACCACCGAUACUAGUGUAUUCCACCAGUGAUAUGCAGUGUCCCGUAGCAAAGAUAUGGCACAUUUCAAGUACUCAUCAGGGGUGCAAGAUAACUCAUCAAACACUCGAAUAGUAUUAUCAAGCCAGAAUUCAGCUUGCUCAGCAUCAUCAUCAUCAGUAGCUCUGAACUCUUCGACCCCGUGUUUUCAAAUUUAGUCAACAGGAGGCUUAAGUAAUCUCAUCGGAUCACUUACUUGAGGUAUAAUAGGAAUCGAAGGUGGAUUAGUCGGGGGUGGAGUUUGUUGUGCAACCGGAUUAGUUCGGACAUAUUGAGUAAACCAGUCAUUCAUCAUUUGGUAGAAGGCUUGUUUAGCCUCUCCCUCCUGGUUACUCGAGGUCGGUCGAGAAUCUACCAGCUCUGUCCCUUGUGUGGGAGCAGGCGCUAUACUCUCAACAUCAUCGACUACGGCUGGAUCGGGAUCCAUUACUAUACGAAAACACAUUUUUAGACAUCAGCAGUCAUCGCACUAUCUUGGUAUAAAAAUAUGGCAUGUAUAGCUAGACUCAUACAUGCUACAUUAGUCCAAGAAUCGAUUAAACCGUAGCUCUGAUACCAAUAAAAUGUAACACCCCUAACCCGUAUCCGUCGCCGAAUUAGGGUUACGAGGCAUUACUGAACAAAUACAACCAUUUUUAAAACCAACUGAUCACAAACAUGAAAAUUAAAUCAUUUUCACAUAGCUAUUUAUAAUUUACAAUCAACAUCUAACCAACAUCGUACUCAAACCUAUACAUGCCAUAAGAUCAAGUUCAAAUAUUUAACAAAAUACCAAAAGGGGUCGAAAGUGUGAUAGACUAUGCUGAUGAUCCCCGAGCUCGUAACGCAUCUCCAAAAUCUAUAAAAACAAAUGGACAAAAACAAUCAAAGUAAGCUUUUAUAGCUUAGUAAGUCUAUAGCAUAUCUAAAAUACAUAUAAAAGAAUCAUAUAAUUCUUAAAAUAAAUUUAUUGAAAUCACAAUUAUCAAUUAUAAUUACUAAUCGAACAUUGCUAUAUUAAGUCAUCUUGUUUAAAUCUAAAAGGAUGUGUAUUUAUCUAAUACACAUGAACGGACAAAUGUAUAUACAUUAUAUGCAUAUAAUCAAUUUACUAACAUAAUCAUUAAUUGCAUAUACGGAUUUCUAUAGUACUUAUUGUUCGCACUUAAUCGGAUCCAUUUAAAUAUAAUUGUUCAAAUACAUAUACCAAAAGCAUAAUAAUUUUAUACUUGAUCAACUAUAAGUGCCGAAUGCACAUAUACACCUAUACCCACCUAUGCCGAAUGCAUACAUAUAUACACAUAUAUAUAUAUCCAACAAUUUCGUGACAACCGAUAUAUAUAUACAUACUCACUAUUCACAAGGACUCGAACGAUUAUAUACUCAUCAACCACCUUAAAACAAUGUUCAUAAACUUAUCCAUUUCAUAUAAACAAAAGCAUAUAUAUUUAUACCCAAUGCAUAGAAUCACUUAAUUUAAACAGAUUCACUAGCACUUCACCUGAUAGGCUUAUAGUUUAAUUCAGUUCACCGGUACUUAGCCUACUAGGCUUGUAGCCUGAUUCAGUUCACCGGCACUUAGCCUGCUAGACGUAUAGUCCGAUUCAAUUCACCGGCAUUUAGCCUGCUAGACGUAUAGUCCGAUUCAAUUUAUCGGCACUUAGCCUGCUAGAUGUAUAGUCUGAAUAAUUUUACUGGUAAUAAAUCCGAUAGUCAUUUCUCCGUUGAAAUUGAAUUAUAUUCAAUUCUGCGUAACAAACAUGCACUUAAAACAUACUUGCAUAAUUCACAACAAUAAUUUCAGUCCAAAGAGCUGUAAUUCAUAUUCGAACUAUAUAUAUAAAUCCAUACAUAAAAAUUCAGCUCAAAAUUUAUAACCUAUAUCUUUGAACCACAUAGGUACAUGAAAUUCAAACAACAAAAUCCAGCUCAAUAACUUCAUGAUUCAACCUAACAAAUUUAUGUAUAUAACUUUUUAUCUAAUUUCAAUACAAUAACUUAUACAUGUACGUAUAUACAUAUUCGAAUCUAACAUAUACAUAUAUAAUUUCAUACUUAAAUAUAUUCAAGACUUAUUCAUGAGUAUACAUAUAUAUUACAACUCACAUGUACAUAUAUAUACACAUUCAUACCUUUAACCAAGUCCAAGGCUUUAUACAUGUAUAUGCUUAUAUAUAUAUAUAUUCGGACCUUAUGUUUACAUAUAUAUUAUAUAUAAAUACCUUUGAUUAAAAACAAGUAUUUAUACAUAUAUAUAUUUUUGAACAUGAUACAUAUAUAUAUUUAUAUCAUUCAUACUUAAACAAAAUUCAAUCCAUAUACUUUCAAUUUCAGCUCACCAAAUUACUAUAGAUAUACAUGCAUAUAUACUGAUUUAAUAACCUCAAAUUGCUAAUAGACUUACCUCGGAUAUCAGCGGACACGAUCGACUAUUCGAUUACUUUCGUUUUUCCCCGAUCCAAAUUCGUUUUCUUCGUUUUUUUAUCUUAAUUAGACCUAGAGAUAGCCGAACCUUGUUGUUCUCUUUUCUUUUCUUUUCUUUUUCUUUUCUAUAUUCGGCCAAGAUGAAGAACAUGGCAUUUAAAAUUUGUUAUAUUAAACAUAUAUUAGCCUUAUUUUUAAUUUACUAUAUUAACCUUUACAUAUAUAUAUAACAUAUAUAAUAAGGUUACAUUAGUCCUUUGCCACCCACUAACUUACAUAGUGGACUAAUUGCAUAGUAAAACCUCUAAAUUAUAAAGACAACAACAAUUAGGUGCUUUUAUAAUUAACCCCUAAAUUUUCAUUUUACGCGAUUAAGCCCUUUUAUUAAAUCGGACACUUAAACGACGAAAUUAAAACACGAAAAUUUCACACAAUCAAAUGCAUACAAAAUAAUAUUAAUAAUAUUUUUCUAAUUCAAAUUUGUGGUCCCGAAACCAGUAUUCUGAUUAGGGUCAAAAACCGGGUUGUUACAACUCUCCCCCCUUAGAGAUUUUCGUCCCCGAAAAUCUUACCGGUGAAUAGGUUUGGAUAACGCUCUUUCAUUGUAUCUUCUGACUCCCAAGUUGCUUCUUCAACCCCAUGUUUAUGCCACAACACUUUAACUAACGGAAUUUUCUUAUUUCGUAAUUCUUUGAUCUCACGAGCAAGAAUGCUAAUCGGUUCUUCCUCAUAUGUCAUAUCAGAGUUAAUUUCAAUCUCCGUCGGACUAAUCACAUGUGAAGGAUCAGAUCGGUAUCUACGGAGCAUCGAAACAUGGAAUACGUUAUGAAUCUUUUCUAACUCAGGCAGUAACAUCAAUCUAUAAGCAACCAAUCCAACUCGCUCUAUAAUCUCAUACGGUCCAAUUAAUCUCGGACACAAUUUGCCUUUACGACCAAAUCUGAGUAUUUUCUUCCACGGUGAGACUUUUAACUUGCUCGGUGUCAACGGUAAAUCGGAUACAAAAUCCAUCGUGACUCGAUCCCAUUUCCAUUGAGGUAUCAUGAUCGGCUGAAGCAAUCCAGAUGGUACCUGAUGCUCGGCUUUAACUUGCUGACAAAUUAAACAUUUCGAAACAAAGUCAGAAAUGUCUCGUUUCAUACCUUGCCACCAAUAGUGCUGUUUUAGAUCGUUAUACAUUUUCGUGCUACCCGGAUGAACAGAAAAUCGAAUACUAUGAGCUUCCUUCAAAAUCAUCUGAAUUAACUCUGAAUUUUUCGGAACACAUAAUCGGUUUCUAAAUCUCAAACAAUCCUCAGCAUCAACUAAAAACUCCGAAUCAAUAUUUAAGUCACAUUGAGCUCGUUUUGCAGUUAAAUCAUUAUCAACCUUUUGAGCUUCACAAAUCUGUUGUACAAAUAACAGUUUUGCUUUCAACUCAGCUACUAUCGCACCAUCAUCAGACAUAACCAUAUGUGCGUUCAUUGCACGCAAAGCAAACAGUGAUUUUCGACUUAGGGCAUCAGCAACAACAUUAGCCUUUCCCGGAUGAUAGUCAAUCACAAGCUCGUAAUCUUUCAGCAAUUCUAACCAUCGACGCUGUCUCAAAUUCAGAUAUUUCUGAGUCAUCAAAUAUUUCAGGCUUUUGGGAUCGGAAUAAACAUGACAUCUUUCGCCAAACAGAUAGUGACGCCAUAUUUUUAACGCAAAUACAAUAGCGGCCAAUUCCAGAUCAUGCGUCGGAUAGUUUUUUUCAUGCGGCUUUAACUGUCUCAAGGCAUAGGCUACAACUUUGCCUUCCUACAUCAAAACACAACCCAAACCAUUUAAAGAUGCAUCACUAUAGAUAACAAACUCUUUACCCGAUUCGGGUUGAACUAGGACUGGAGCUUCGGUCAAAAGAACUUUCAACUGAUCAAAGUUUUUCUGACACUUUUCUGACCACUCGAACUUAACGUCUUUUUGUAGUAGCUUUGUCAUCGGGGUCGCAAUCAUAGAAAACCCUUUCACGAACCGUCUAUAAUAACCAGCGAGCCCCAGAAAGCUUCGAACAUCAGAGACAUUUCUCGGAGGUUUCCAAUCAAGUAUAGCUGAAAUUUUACUUGGAUCAACCUGAAUACCCGAUGCUGACACAACAUGGCCCAGAAAACUAACUUCACGUAACCAGAACUCGAAUUUACUGAACUUUGCAUACAACUGUUUAUCUCGCAAAGUUUGUAACACAAGUCUCAGAUGUUCAGUAUGCUCGGUUUCAUCACGAGAGUAGAUCAAAAUAUCAUCUAUAAAUACUACCACAAACAGAUCCAGAUACUGUCUAAAAAUCUGAUUCAUCAAAUCCAUGAAAACAGCAGGUGCAUUAGUAAGUCCAAAAGGCAUAACCAAGAACUCAUAAUGUCCGUACCUCGUUCGGAAAGCAGUCUUUGGCACAUCAGAGUCUUUAACUCGCAACUGAUAGUAGCCUGAUCUCAGAUCUAUCUUCGAAAACACAGUAGCCCCUUUCAACUGAUCGAACAAAUCAUCAAUCCGUGGUAACGGAUACUUAUUCUUUAUAGUCACCUUAUUGAGUUGCCGGUAAUCAAUGCACAUUCUCAUUGUUCCGUCUUUCUUUUUCACAAAUAGAACUGGUGCACCCCAAGGAGAGAAACUCGGUCGUGCAAAACCUUUAUCAGUCAACUCUUGCAACUGUACUUUCAAUUCUUUUAAUUCAGUCGGUGCCAUACGGUACGGAGCUAUCGAAAUUGGAGUUGUCCCUGGUACUAACUCAAUACCAAACUCUACCUCUCGAAUAGGUGGCAAACCCGGUAAUUCUUCGGGAAACACGUCUGAAUACUUACACACUACUGGCACAGAUUCAAUCUUCUUUUCGAUCACUUUACUAUCAAGAAAAAAUGCAAGGUAAUCUUCACAACCUUUUCUCACAUACUUUUUUGCCGACAUCGAGGAUAUUAUUGCUGGUAAACCAUUCAGAUCAUUAGAUUCAAUCCGAAUAAUCUCAUCAUUCUGACACCGUAGAUCAAUAGUUUUCCGUUUGCAGUUUACUAUAGCAUCAUGCAGAGUUAACCAAUCCAUACCCAGAAUUAUAUCAAACUCGUCAAAUGGUAGCAACAUCAAAUCAGCCAGAAAACAUAAAUCUCGAAUCAUCAACGGACAAUUCUUGCAUAUUUUGUCAACCAAAACACACCGGCCCAGGGGGUUCAAUACUUUAAUUACAAACUCAGUAGACUCAACAGGCAAAGUCUUACUGAAUACUAAAGUCUCACACACAUAAGAAUGAGUCGAACCAAGAUCAAUCAAUGCAAUAACAUUAGUAUCAUAAAGAGGGAAAGUACCAGUAAUAACAUCUGGAGAAGAAGCCUCCUCUUGAGCACGGAUGGCAUAUGCUCUGGCAAGUGCACGAGCCUCAGAUCGAACUGCCAUGUCCUUUGUUCCUCUCUGACUGCCACUUACAUUACUCAAUUGCCUCGGUGGUCUACCUCGUACUGGCACUUUACUCGGUCUGGUAUUCUGCACAGUGUUUUGCUCAGCUACCAUCGGACACUCUCGAAUGAAAUGAUCCUUUGAACCGCACUUAAAGCAAGACCGAUCAUGUAAUCUGCAAUCUCCAGGAUGCCAUUUCCCACAAUACUUGUACUCUGAUCUAUUUUGUCGAACACUACCAACGCUAGCAACUGAAGUAGCUCGUGAACUCACAGGGGGUCGAUCUCGAUCAUACUUAGGAAACCCUGCAGUAGCUUUAGAUCGGCUAUGAUCCUCUCUGGAUUUCAUUGAGGUCGACUGGAAUGAUUUACUGAAUAAUCUUUUACGAGAAUCUCGAGCUUCAUAGCCAGCUUUCCUCUUCUCUUUCCCGAGCUCCUCAACUUUACAAGGUCGUUCAACAAGUACUACGAACUCUUUUAUCUCAAGUAUACCAAAUAACAGUUUAAUAUCUUCAUCCAGCCCAUCUUCAAAUCUUUUACACAUGAUAGCUUCAGUCGAAAUACAUUCUCGAGCAUAUCUACUGAGUCUCACAAAUUUCCGCUCAUAUUCUAUCACUGUCAUACGACCCUGUUUCAAUUUAAGAAAUUACUUACGCUUCUGAUCAAUGAAUCUUUGGCUGAUGUAUUUCUUACAGAACUCAAUCUGAAAGAAUUCCCAGGUCACUCGCUCUUUCGGAACCACCGAUACUAGUGUAUUCCACCAGUGAUAUGCAGUGUCCCGUGGCAAAGAUAUGGCACAUUUCAAGUACUCAUCAGGGGUGCAAGAUAACUCAUCAAACACUCGAAUAGUAUUAUCAAGCCAGAAUUCAUCUCGCUCAGCAUCAUCAUCAUCAGUAGCUCUGAACUCUUCGACCCCGUGUUUUUGAAUUUUGUCAAUAGGAGGCUUAAGUAAUCUCAUCGGAUCACUUACUUGAGGUAUAACAGGAAUCGAAGGUGGAUUAGUCGGGGGUGGAGUUUGUUGUGCAACCGGAUUAGUUCGGACAUAUUGAGUAAACCAGUCAUUCAUCAUUUGGUAGAAGGCUUGUUUAGCCUCUCCCUCCUGGUUACUCGAGGUCGGUCGAGAAUCUACCGGCUCUGUCCCUUGUGUGGGAGCAGGCGCUAUACCCUCAACAUCAUCGACUACGGCUCGAUCGGGAUCCAUUACUAUACGAAAACACAUUUUUAGACAUCAGCAGUCAUCACACUAUCUUGGUAUAAAAAUAUGGCAUGUAUAGCUAGACUCAUACAUGCUACAUUAGUCCAAGAAUCGAUUAAACCGUAGCUCUGAUACCAAUAAAAUGUAACACCCCUAACCCGUAUCCGUCGCCGAAUUAGGGUUACGAGGCAUUACUGAACAAAUACAACCAUUUUUAAAACCAACUGAUCACAAACAUGAAAAUUAAAUCAUUUUCACAUAGCUAUUUAUAAUUUACAAUCAACAUCUAACCAACAUCGUACUCAAACCUAUACAUGCCAUAAGAUCAAGUUCAAAUAUUUAACAAAAUACCAAAAGGGGUCAAAAGUGUGAUAGACUAUGCUGAUGAUCCCCGAGCUCGUAACGCGUCUCCAAAAUCUAUAAAAACAAAUGGACAAAAACAAUCAAAGUAAGCUUUUAUAGCUUAGUAAGUCUAUAGCAUAUCUAAAAUACAUAUAAAAGAAUCAUAUAAUUCUUAAAAUAAAUUUAUUGAAAUCACAAUUAUCAAUUAUAAUUACUAAUCGAACAUUGCUAUAUUAAGUCAUCUUGUUUAAAUCUAAAAGGAUGUGUAUUUAUCUAAUACACAUGAACGGACAAAUGUAUAUACAUUAUAUGCAUAUAAUCAAUUUACUAACAUAAUCAUUAAUUGCAUAUACGGAUUUCUAUAGUACUUAUUGUUCGCACUUCAUCGGAUCCAUUUAAAUAUAAUUGUUCAAAUACAUAUACCAAAAGCAUAAUAAUUUUAUACUUGAUCAACUAUAAGUGCCGAAUGCACAUAUACACCUAUACCCACCUAUGCCGAAUGCAUACAUAUAUACACAUAUAUAUAUAUCCAACAAUUUCAUGACAACCGAUAUAUAUAUACAUACUCACUAUUCACAAGGACUCGAACGAUUAUAUACUCAUCAACCACCUUAAAACAAUGUUCAUAAACUUAUCCAUUUCAUAUAAACAAAAGCAUAUAUAUUUAUACCCAAUGCAUAGAAUCACUUAAUUUAAACAGAUUCACUGGCACUUCACCUGAUAGGCUUAUAGUUUAAUUCAGUUCACCGGCACUUAGCCUACUAGGCUUGUAGCCUGAUUCAGUUCACCGGCACUUAGCCUGCUAGACGUAUAGUCCGAUUCAAUUCACCGGCAUUUAGCCUGCUAGACGUAUAGUCCGAUUCAAUUUACCGGCACUUAGCCUGCUAGAUGUAUAGUCUGAAUAAUUUUACUGGUAAUAAAUCCGAUAGUCAUUUCUCCGUUGAAAUUGAAUUAUAUUCAAUUCUGCGUAACAAACAUGCACUUAAAACAUACUUGCAUAAUUCACAACAAUAAUUUCAGUCCAAAGAGCUGUAAUUCAUAUUCGAACUAUAUAUAUAUAAAUCCAUACAUAAAAAUUCAGCUCAAAAUUUAUAACCUAUAUCUUUGAACCACAUAGGUACAUGAAAUUCAAACAACAAAAUCCAGCUCAAUAACUUCAUGAUUCAACCUAACAAAUUUAUGUAUAUAACUUUUUAUCUAAUUUCAAUACAAUAACUUAUACAUGUACGUAUAUACAUAUUUGAAUCUAACAUAUACAUAUAUAAUUUCAUACUUAAAUAUAUUCAAGACUUAUUCAUGAGUAUACAUAUAUAUUACAACUCACAUGUACAUAUAUAUACACAUUCAUACCUUUAACCAAGUCCAAGGCUUUAUACAUGUAUAUGCUUAUAUAUAUAUAUAUUCGGACCUUAUGUUUACAUAUAUAUUAUAUAUAAAUACCUUUGAUUAAAAACAAGUAUUUAUACAUAUAUAUAUUUUCGAACAUGAUACAUACAUAUAUUUAUAUCAUUCAUACUUAAACAAAAUUCAAUCCAUAUACUUUCAAUUUCAGCUCACCAAAUUACUAUAGAUAUACAUGCAUAUAUACUGAUUUAAUAACCUCAAAUUGCUAAUAGACUUACCUCGGAUAUCAGCGGACACGAUCGACUAUUCGAUUACUUUCGUUUUUCCCCGAUCCAAAUUCGUUUUCUUCGUUUUUUUAUCUUAAUUAGACCUAGAGAUAGCCGAACCUUGUUGUUCUCUUUUCUUUUCUUUUCUUUUUCUUUUCUAUAUUCGGCCAAGAUGAAGAACAUGGCAUUUAAAAUUUGUUAUAUUAAACAUAUAUUAGCCUUAUUUUUAAUUUACUAUAUUAACCUUUACAUAUAUAUAACAUAUAUAAUAAGGUUACAUUAGUCCUUUGCCACCCACUAACUUACAUAGUGGACUAAUUGCAUAGUAAAACCUCUAAAUUAUAAAGACAACAACAAUUAGGUGCUUUUAUAAUUAACCCCUAAAUUUUCAUUUUACGCGAUUAAGCCCUUUUAUUAAAUCGGACACUUAAACAACGAAAUUAAAACACGAAAAUUUCACACAAUCAAAUGCAUACAAAAUAAUAUUAAUAAUAUUUUUCUAAUUCAAAUUUGUGGUCCCGAAACCAGUAUUCUGAUUAGGGUCAAAAACUGGGUUGUUACAACUCUCCCCCCUUAGGGAUUUUCGUCCCCGAAAAUCUUACCGGUGAAUAGGUUUGGAUAACGCUCUUUCAUUGUAUCUUCUGACUCCCAAGUUGCUUCUUCAACCCCAUGUUUAUGCCACAACACUUUAACUAACGGAAUUUUCUUAUUUCGUAAUUCUUUGAUCUCACGAGCCAGAAUGCUAAUCGGUUCUUCCUCAUAUGUCAUAUCAGAGUUAAUUUCAAUCUCCGUCGGACUAAUCACAUGUGAAGGAUCAGAUCGGUAUCCACAGAGCAUUGAAACAUGGAAUACGUUAUGAAUCUUUUCUAACUCAGGCAGUAACAUCAAUCUAUAACCAACCGAUCCAACUCGCUCUAUAAUCUCAUACGGUCCAAUGAAUCUCGGACUCAAUUUGCCUUUACGACCAAAUCUGAGUAUUUUCUUCCACGGUGAGACUUUUAAAAACACUUUAUCCCCGAUCUGAAAUUCUAUAUCCUUUCUUUUCAAAUCCGCAUAAGAUUUCUGACGAUCCGGUGCUGAUUUCAGACUGUCCCGAAUCACUUUCACUUUCUGUUCGGUCUCUUUAAUCAAAUCAACCCCGUGUAUCUUAUUUUCACUGAGCUCAGUCCAAUACAGUGGUGUACGACAUUUACGACCGUACAAAGCCUCAUAAGGUGCCAUUUUGAUACUAGAUUGAAAGCUAUUAUUAUAAGCAAAUUCAAUCAAAGGUAAGUAUCGUUCCCACGUACCUUCAAACUCGAGAAUGCAACAUCUCAACAUAUCCUCAAGUAUCUGAAUGAUUCGUUCAGAUUGACCAUCUGUCUGCGGAUGGAAAGCUGUGCUAAAAUGUAGUUUCGUACCUAAAGCUGUGCUAAAAUGCACACAAAAUAAACACACAAAAUAAUAUUAAUAAUAUUUUUCUAAUUCGGAUUUGUGGUCCCGAAACCACUAUUCCGAUUAGGGUCAAAAACCGGGUUGUUACAAUUCUGCUUCUUCUGCAUCAUCAUCUUUGGUAGCUCGAAAUUCUUCAGCCCCUUACUUCCUAAUCUUAUCAACAGGUGGUCUCUCACUGAUGACUAUACCUGCAGCUAGGGAAACUACAUGAGGAACCUGUGAAUCCUGAAGGGGUGGAGGUCUUACACCCGGAUUCAUACGAACGAACUCGGCAAACCAAUCAUUCAUGGCUUGGAAGAAGGCUUCUCUAGCUCCUCCUCCCUGUCUAACUGAUGCAGGUCUUUCACUAACGUUAACAUCUAGUGGCACCGUCCUUUCUGCGGAAGUAGGCGCAUUACUCUCUACUUCAUCUGCACCAGCUCGUUCAGGAUCCGUAACUAUAAAAUAAAAUAUUUUAAAAUCGUCAAGAGUCGUCACACUAUCAAAAUAUAUAAGUAUGGCAUGUAUAGGUAGACUUUUAUUCAUACUGCAUAUUUCUGAGAACCGAUUAAACCUGCUCUGAUACCAACAAAUGUAACACCCCUUACCCAAGACCAUUUUCGGAGUCGAGCACGAGGCAUUACUUAUCUUAUCUUACUAACUCGAAGCAUAAAAACUUAUUUUAAAAAUUAAUUUCACUAUUUACAGCAAUCUGUCCAAUCGAGCAGCAGUUACUAAAUUAAUAAUAACUCGAGCUACGGAACUUGAAAUUUAACUUCGUAAAUUUUCACUGAAACUAGACUCAUAUAUCUUCCUACCAUAAAGUUUUUAGGAUUUUUUGUUUAGCCAACUAGUACAGUUUAUUAGUCAAAUUCUCCCCUGUUUCACCAAUCGAUUGCCUUGACCUCUUAUCACUAAAAAUAAAAUUUCUCAAUGUGGGAUUUUCGUAUAGUGCUACUGCUUGCUUCUACAAAAAAUAGACUCAAUAAGGAAUCUAUAAAUAUAAACUACAGCUCCUAAAUAUUUUUUUAAAAAUUUUAAUGAUUUUCUAAACUCAAAAUAGGGGUCACCAAAAACUGUUCUAACCCUGUCUCACCAAAAUUCACAUAUCUUAAAAUAUAAAAUUCAUUUUGCUACACCGUUAUUUUUAUCUGAAAAUAGACUCAACAAGAUUUAAAUUCAUAUAUCAUUCACUCUUUAAUUCAUUUUAUACUAUCCUAGGUGAUAUUUCAAAGUCACGUCGUUGUUGCUGCCUGAAUUCUGUUUCUUUGCAAAAUUGUACCAUUUUAUGAUUUCCAUGCAUAGUUUAUCACUUACACUCUUAUAACAACAAACACUUCCAUACUUCACCAUUUUAGCAACCAUUCAUCAUCAACUACUUACAUAUCAUUCUUUAUCAAGAUCAUAAAUACAAACAUUUAAAAUAACUAAAUCCCUAUACAUUCCAUACUCAACAUGGUUCAACAUAAAAAUACCGAGUUGCUGUGGCUGAUAGUGUGGACGAUCUCCGACUUCUUUAGGAUCCUUGAAGUAACCUUGCAAUACUAUAAGAGAAAGAGAAAUAAAAGACGUAAGCAUAAAGCUUAGUAAGUUUACUAGCAAAUAAAUAACAAUAUUUAACUCAGAUAAUUAAACUCAAGUGUCUAUAUCUCUAGUUUACUCUUUAGUUAAUCCCAUUCUAGUUCUCUUGCUUGUUUACUUAGUAUACUUGUGUGCAUAACUUAAUCUUCUCUUGCUGUAUCGUUGAAUAUCAAUUGAUAAUAUAAUAAGUUCUUAACUCUUAUAACUUACCUGAACUUGCCAUUUAUGUUUUUAACUGAACUUUCCUGAACAUGAUUCGUUAUUUAGCCCGUUGAGCUACAUUGGAACAAUAAGGAUACUCGGGUCUCUUCUGAUAAUAACAUGCCAAAGCCAUGUCCCAGACAUGGUCUUACAUGGGAUGUACUCAUGUCGGUGCCCAUUCCAUGUCCCAGACAUGGUCUUACGGGGGACCUCUCAUCUCGGUGCCAAUGUCAUGUCUCAGACAUGGUCUUACAUGGGACCUCUCAUCUCGGUGCCAACACCAUGUCCCAGACAUUGUCUUACAUGGGACCUCUCAUUUCGGUGCCAACGCCAUGUCCCAGACAUGGUCUUACAUGGGACCUCUUUAUCCAAAUGUCAUGACAUUCGUAUCCAGUAUUAUCCUUAUGUAUCAACGGGACUUUUUAAUUUUAAUUCUCUAUCAUUUCAUGCUUGGAUAAUCAUCAAAUAAAUUCAUGAAAUAAAUUCAUAGUUGCUGGAAAAUAGCAGCAUUAAUAAAAAUUAUUGAAAUAUUUCAUUUAUUUACCGUAAACUUACCUUGGUACCGAAUAUAGCCCAAUUCACCAACUUAGUCUUCAACUUUAUUCUUUCCUUUGUCUAACCUCGAGUUUCAUUCUUCUUGAUCUAAAAUAGAAAAUUUAACUUAUUUAAUACUCACAUUCAUCAAAACAGCCCUCGACUCUAACUUUUCAAAAUUAUGAUUUUGCCCCUAAACUUUUACAUAAUUACAUUUUUCCCCAAGGCUCGAAAAUUCAACUUCAUCUCAUAUUCUUAUGUUUUAUGGCAUGCUGAAUAUUUUUCUCUUCUAUGACAAUAUCAAAUUCUCACUCUAACACUUACUUAUGUACAUUAGAGAUUUUUACCGAUUAUGUCAACUUACUCGUUUUUGCUUAAAAUCGGCUAACAAAAGUUGUUUAACAUAAUUUAUAGCUUCAUAUUCUAUCAUAAAACAUCAAAAUAAACACUUUUCACCUAUGGGUAUUUUUCCAAAUAUAAACCCUAGGUUAAAUUAUUGCUAGAAUAAGCUAAAUUAAGUUACCGGGACUCCAAAAACGUAAGGAACAUUAAAAACGGGGCUUGGGAUCACUUACUAUGGAGCUUGGAAGCUUGAAAACCCUAAAUAUGGCUUACCCCCUUGCUGAUUUCGUCCAAAUGAAGAAGAUGAGCAUAAUUUGUCAUCUUUUUCCCUUUUAAUUCAUUUUAAUUACUAGAUUACCAAAUUGCCCCUAACUUAAAAAUUUCCUAUUUCACUUAUCUCAUGUCCAUUUUUGUCUAAAAACUUAACCAAUGGUCUAAUUACCAUAUAAAGACCUCCAAUUUAAAGUUUCAUAACAAUUGGACACCUCUAACAUGUAGAACUCAACUUUUGCACUUUUUGCAAUUUAGUACUUUUGACUAAAUUGAGUGCCCAAACUUCAAAAUUUUCGAAUAAAAUUUUCAUGAAAUCAUUUUGUGAAAUCAUAGACCAUAAAAAUAUAAGAAAAAUAAAAUUUUCCUCAUCGGAUUUGUGAUCCCGAAACCACUGUUCCGAUAAUCUUAAAUUUGGGCCAUUACAUGAUCACCUUUUUACUAGCUCAUACAUCUCCUACAUCAGACCUUACAUGCAUGCUUACCAAACUUUAUUCUUUUUAACAAAACUUUAUACAUAUCAUCGUAGCACAUCUUUCAUCUUUACUAAACUCAUAUUUUUACCAAUUUCUGUAGACAUCAUCAUCAUCAUCCUAUAUAUAUGCUUCUUGUUUGAACAGUUCAUAUCAAAGAGUCAAGAUAGAGACCCACUUGACACUCACCUACUGCAGUUCAAAGCUCUAAACUUAACCAUCCUUCUCAAACCAGCAGUAAAAACUGCUUAUAGAACAUAGAAUCACCAUUAAAAACCCAUUUACAUACAAAUUACUAUCAUCUUAAUCACUUUUCCACUGUUAAUUUAUAAAUAAGUGUUAAGUAGUAAAUAAAUAAAAAAAUUAACUAAGUUUUCAAAAAAAAAGUCACUGUGACGAGAAGAAUGUUAAAAUUAAUUGGUGUUUGUUAACUCAUAUGUUUUUCUAAAAAUGGGUUAAGUUUUCUUCUGAAAUAAACAAAUGUUUUAAAAUGAUUGUUUUAUAAACUCCGAUCGUACUAUCCCAUCUUGGUGGCUGAUGUAAUAUCCCAAAUUCAGGUCUAACAUCUAAGUCGGGUUGGAUAGGUUACAAUAUAUAUAGAAAGAUUGAUAAAUAAUGCAAACUUGAAUACAAGCAAAGAAAGAAAUCAAUCAAUGUGAAUGACUAACAAGUUUAAAAUCAUAUAUUUGCAUUAUAUUUUGUAAAGCACAAGAUUGUCAUGGAAUUAGACAAUUUGUUUUGAUAAUGGUUAUAUUUUAUAUAGAUUUACUUUUAUGCACUUUCAUAUUGAGUUGAUCAAAAGUUUUGAAACUUUAUAGAAAAUUUGAAUGAAAGAGCAUAUUGAUAUAUAUGCUAUCUUGAGUGUUGAAUUAAGCAUUCUUUAGUAAAAGAGUGUACAUUUCGCACAUGGUAGGUGUGUUGGUUUCUUAUAUAUUAAUUAAGCACAAAUUAAAGAAAAAUAAUAUAUAUCACCAUAGUGUUGUAAUAUUUUGUAUAAUUUGUGAAAUUAUACAAGCAAAUAAGUUUACCUAUCUUGUUAAAUAAAACUCAUUAAGUUGGUUCUUAAUCUUGAAGAAUUAAAUAGGUUGGCUUCUUUAUUCAUUUUAUCCAACUACAAGUUAGAUUAAAGUUGUGGAAAUAGAAUGGUUGAAAAUUUGUGUUAAUGAGAAUUAGAGUUAUGGCCACAACUGAUGCCAACUAUUUCCUAAAAACAGGGAAUGAUGUCCAAAAACAUGCUGUAAAAUAAAAAUUUGGACAUGUUAGAAUAUGAAUUUAUUAUAUUAUAGUUUCAAUGUAAUACCCUUAUCCCAUCUCUGUUGCCGGAUUAGGAUUUCAGAGUAUUACUGAGAAAAAUAGAACAUUUAACUUUCCAACAGAAACAAUUGUACAAUUAAAUACCAACAUAUAACAAUUGAAUCUAAUCAUGGCAAAUAUUACACUUUUGGACCUUGAAUCGAGCCUAUGGGGCCCUAGAAACAGUUUAGGAACAAUCUGGGAUCAAAUCAAAACAAAUCAGAACAUUUUGAAAAAACAUAAAAAUUUAGGAAUACAGAGGUCACAGGCCAUAUGGCCAAGUCGUGUGACAUAGCCUAGAUUGUGUAAACAUCCGAAGUCAGGACACAUAGCUGUGUCCCAGCCUGUGUGUCUACUCAUGUGUAUAUUUGAAAUAGGGUCACACAGUCGUGUUGCAGACUGCCAAACGUGUGUGUAUUCAAAGUGAGGUCGCAAGACCAUGUGGCCGACCGUGCCACAAACUGUUUUGAGACACAAGGUCAUGUCUCAGACCGUGUAAAACAUGCACUUAAAAUAAUAAAUACACACGACCGUAUCUAGUGACUAUGUGUGGCACAUGGUCGUGUGGUAGCUUGUGUCUCAGGUCGUGUGCUCCAUUUUUAACCCCUAAAUCAAGCCAAUCAAGCAUCAUUUCUUAUACAACAAGACAUACCAUAUCUAACUAAUUUUACAUGGUUAAAAACACAUUCAAAUCAACAAAUACAUGCCAAAAUUUCGUUCAUCCUAUGUCUAACCAAUAUGCCAUCAAAAGGCACCUCAAUCCAUACAUCCAUUCAACUCAAGAACAAAGUUACAAUAAAUGAACAAGUUUUAUCAUUAGUUAACCAUUCAUGCCUAAAACCACUAAUCUAAUUGACCAAAAUAUGGGCAUACUCAACAAGCAACCAUUUCAAAACAUCAUCAUCAAAUCUUUAUAUACCAUUUAUGAUCAACUUAAUUAUAUUCAACACAAGUACACAUCCAAAAUCAAGCACAUCACUAAGUAUGCCAAAAUAACUUAACUAUUUACAUAUCAACAAUAAGACACCAUAUCCCAAAAUGAAAUAAAAAAGCUACCAAGAUGGUUGGAUAGUGUGUGCUCCAAAACAAUUCAUCCGGUUAGUCCACAAAACGCCAAAUCAACCAAUAUAGAUAAACAAAAAGGUAAGUUCUAAUUCUUGAUAUUCAAAUGCAAGAUCACACCACAUUAGUAUAUAUUUAUUUACAUCAUAAAUGAUACCUUCCAAAAUUCAUAACCAAUUCAUCAUCCACAAUUUCUCAAUACAACCAUUAAUAUUUAUAAACAAGAACUUCAUAGUAACAUUUAUCAUUUAGUAGUAAUAUAAUUAUCCAACAAAAUUGAACAAAUAAAUGCGUUUUAAGUCAUUUGAUACAUAGCCUGCUGAACUAUAGUAACUUGACUCGGAUACUCAUGAUACUACAUCACACCAAAGGUAUCAAUGAUGCAUAACAGAGGCACCGAAGUGCAGACAAAUGCAUGAAUGUGCAAUCAGAGGCACCGAAGUGAAAACAGAUGCACCAAAGUACAAACCCGUACGAGUGCGCAUUAAAACCCUAUUGGCAUGCUAAUCGUAUCCUAAUUGUUUACUACGUUCAACUGGGCAUUAUACUUAAAAUCAUAAUAUCAAUAAAUCCAUCAUUUAGAGGCACUUCUUAUUUCCGUACACAUACUAUAAAUAUGUAACUUUCAUUUCAAUAAUAUGCAAUAACAAUAAUUACCAUCAUCAAACAUUCAUUUUCUAUUUGUACUUAAUUGCAAAAUUUAAUAAUAUAUAAGUAACUCAUGAAAUUUCACAUAUAUACCAUUAACUAGAAAACAAUAAUAUAAUCAUAAAGUGACACACAUAUACAUAUUAUUACACUAUGAACUUACCUAAAAUCUACUUUCGAUUAAUACACAGGGACUACUCCGCUAUUUUUUCCCUUUUCUCGGUUAUUGUCUUUUUGACUCGGUUCUUGAUCUAUAUAGUAAUUAAAUUCAAUUUAUGAAAUUCACAUACAUUUAAAACUCAAUUCAAUGCAUGAUACCCUUAUGUUUUCAUUAUUUUCACAUUUUUCUUAAACUUUUACAUUUCUCACAAUUUAGUCCCUACAAAAUUUAACAAAAUUUUACAAUUUUCCAUGUUAGUUGAACUUCUUUCGAAACUAGUACAAUCCCUAAUUAUUCACAAUUCACAAAAUUUCUAUGCAAAUUUUAAUAAUUCACACAUUGAUCAUUAAACUCAAAAUUAACACAAAUUUUUUUACAAAAAUAUCCUAAUCAACAUUCAAAUAUGUACAACUACCAUUAAAAAUCAUGAACACCAAAAUUCCAUUACUAACCAAUCCCUAAAACUUUAACAUUUUUAUAAUUCCAUCCUCGGGUUUAAUAGUUUAAGUUACAACGAGUUCAAAAACGUAAAAAUUAUUAAAAACAGGUAAGAGAAACACUUACAUGCACCAAUUUGCUAACCGAAACUUCAAGCUCCAAAAAUGGAGUUUUUUUUUUCUUUUUCGGUGGGAGAGAGUUGAGAAGAUGAUGAUACCAUUUUUUUCUUUUGUUUCUUUUCUUUAAUCAAACUAAUUACUAAAUUAUCCUUUUAAUCUAAACUAAAUUAUUAACAUAGCAUGUCCGUAAUUAUCCAUUAACUAACCAUAAGGUUUAUCUAUCAACCAAGUCCAUUACUUUAGUUUUUCUUUAAAAAUCAAGCACAUUUAACAAAUAGAAGCCACUUUAGCAUCUUUUACAAUUUAGACCUUUUUACUAAAUUAACUAAACAGACAUUAAAAUUUCUUAGCCAAAUUUUAUUAUGACUCCAAUAUAACUCUAUAAGCAUAAAAUAAACAUAAAAUACUAACUCAUUUGUCGAAAUUGUGGUCCUGAAACCACCUUUUUUGAUACCACUGAAAAAUGAGAUAUUACAUUAAAUCUCUAAUUUAUGAUAAUGAAUGUGAGAGAAUAAUUUUCUUUGUUUAGAAAUACUAAUCAUUUUCUUUGUUUAGUAAUACUACAACUAGAAUGUGUUUCGACCCUAUUAUUAGAAACUAAUAAUGGAAACCCAACUUUUAAUUAGAAACCUCUAAUUUUAAAGUUUAAUAGGUAACACCCCGAAUUUUGGCCCUAGAAGAAAUAUGUUUUGAACAAGGGAACAGUUAGGAGACUGCACAUAAAUAUUUAGUUGUGCAAGGAAGUGACAUAAAUGAAUGUCUACUUCAGUGGUUGAGUGAUUUAGGAGUGUUUGGAACUGUCUGAGAAGUCAGGGAUUCAAGCAUUGCUUAUGCAAAAUUUUUAUUUUAAGUGAAUAAAAUCAUUGGAUCUAGAUAGUAAGUUCUUAAAUUAUUGUGGUUAAAAUAUGAUGCAAAAGAGUUGUUGGUCUAGUGGUAAGGGGUGUGUGGAGUGCACAUAGGGCCUAAGGUUCGAGUGGUGGCGCAUCAGAAAGGAAAUAUUUAUUUUGCUACUUGAGCUGUUUAGGUAGUGGAGUUGGACUGAAACACAACUAAGGGGAGUUUGCAUAGAAUUUGAAUGGAGUUGUUGGGGGAGUUGAGGAGAAACCGGUAGAAUAAUUUAAGGAGGGAUAAGGGGAGAGAUUUUAGGAGAAAAUCAAGGGAAGUGAGGGGAGUGAAGAAGUGUGCCGAAAGUGGACUUUGAUACUCAGGAAAUUUGGCCAGAAGGGAUACUGCUCAUUUUGGUAUACUUUUCAUUUCGGUUUUGUGUAGUGUUUCUCUCUCUUUUUGCUUUUUGGUGCCGAAUUUUUGCUAAGAUUUCGAGUACCACUCGGGUUUUUCUUUUGCUGCUUUUUUCUUUUAUCAUUUCUUUUGUUUUGGCCGAAUUUCUUUUUAGUUCCCUCCUUUGUCGAAUUCUUUUCUCUCUUCUCUUUGUUGCUUCUUUUCAUUUCUCUAUUUUUCCAAACCUUGACCGAACAGUGUUGAAGUAGUUCUGUGUUCCAUCUUUUGUCUAAAAUGCUCUUCUUCCUCUACUCCUUUUGAUCAACUAUUUGUCGAAUAUUGCCUUCUCUCCCCUUUUAUCUCUUUAAAUUUAUUUUCGGCUUGACAACAAUUCUCUAACAGUUCAAAUUUCUUGAGGAGUGAAAAAGUAUCGCAUAAUAUUAAAGUCAUCGAAACCUUUCUCUCAUCACUCGAUCAAAGGUAAGUAUGUAGGCUAGCAUUCUAAAGUGUAGGCUGAGUGCUUUCUAUGGUUUCAUAAGUUAUUAUGUUUGGAUUUAAACCACAUGAAUAAACAAUCCUAUUUAAUAAAAUCCGUUUGUAAUGCAGAUAUCCAUCAAAGAGAUUGUAGUCAACCUUCGUCAGUGAUAUAAGUAGGCUAAGUCACAUUUGACAAUCGAGGCUUUGGUGCUCGUGGAUCUUAGAGUGUUUUCACAAUCAGGUGUGUAAACACCCCACUGUAACCGUAGAACGACAAAAAGCUAAAAGGCCAAAAAUACGGUGUUUGAGACCACACAGGCGUGCGAUCUCUCAUGUGGUAAGCCCAACCCACAAAUCAUGGCCGAUAGACUGUAGAGGCCUCCAUGAACAUUUCCAUGGGCUUAGGCCGUAAUGGGCCACGUUGGGCCGAAAUGGGUCGUGUGGGUUCAAUAGGCUCGUGGGCACCAUACAGAUGAGAACCACGAUUUGUGAAAAAUACUGGACUGGGCUAUGAAGAUCUCAUAGCCGUGGAAAAAUCUGGGCUGAACAGGCCGCACAAGCGUGCGGGCCUACUUGGGCCGAGUAAUGGGCCUUAGGCCCAUUUGUACCAUUAUGACCAUUUAGGUUACCUGAGUCGCUCGAGGUAACUACGGACCUUUCGAGAGGUCGAUAUCUGCACCAAGACCCAAAAUAGGUAAAAUGAUCGAAAUACCCCUAUAGAGUAAAAUGACCGAAAUACCCCCAAAGGAUAAAAUGAUUGAAAUACCCCUAUAAGGUAAAACGAUCGAAAUACCCCCGUAGGAUAAAAUAACUAUUAUACCCCUAGAAGAUGAAAUGACUGUUAUGGCCUUAUGCUAUGUAUGACUGUUUUGCUCUAUGAUAUGUAUGACUAUGGUUGAGCAUGACAUUUUUCAUACACGUAUGAUAUUAUGUCAUGAUAUAUUGCAUGGGGAUGGAUUGUUAUAUUUGGAGGAAGUGUACUGUACUGACAAGGUUGCACGGGUCGCCCAAGACGACUGUGGACCUACUGAUGGCUAUAUGCCAUUUAUUUUACUGGCAGCUUUGCUGCAAUACUGUUUAAUGCUGCAACUGGUGCUAAUCUUGGUGUGUUUGGAUGGAUGGGUAGAUUUUAUCCCCCAUAUGGUGUGUUUGGCGGAACUGUAACACCCUUAACCUGAAUCCAUUCUGACAUUGUCUCACAAAAUUUAUUAUAUCUCAUAGUUUACAAUUUUAUUACUUACACCAUUUCUUCCAUGAGAAACUAGACUCAAUAAGUUUUAAUUCUAUAUUUUAUUCAUACUCUAAUUCGAUUUUCAUAAUUUAUGGUGAUUUUUCAAAGUGAGCCUACUGUUGUUGUCCAAAACUAUUUUAGUACAAGAUGUUUAUUACCAUGUUUAUAACACCCUUAUUUUCUUUCUCUACACUAUUUCUCAUCCCUUUCUCUUAUUUUCUCUUCACUUACAUAUUAAGAACAUAGGACCAUAUAUACAAAAAAACUUUACACUAACAUCAUUUCCAUACUUUUUCAAUAAUAUCAAACUUAAAAAUAUACUAAAAUCUUGAUGUACUUACCUUGUCAUAUUGAUUUUAAUCUUUAACUUGAUUUUCUCUCUCCUCCAGCUUCUAUUUCUUGAAUCUAACUUGAUAUUAUAGCUCCCCAUAGUCUCCUUGUAAUCUUUCUCUCUUGAUGGAUAUGGAAAUUCUUUUGAUUUCUAGAUGAAAAUAGUGAAUUUUUGGUGAAAGGACUAAAUUGUAAAGAAAGCAAAACUUUCUUUCUUCUCUUCUCCUCUUAACGUGAAUUGCAUGGAAAAGAUGGUGGGUUGGUUCCUUUUCAUCUUUCUUUCCACAUAUAUAUACUAAAUAAUAAAAUAAUAAAAUAUCAUUUAAAAAUCAAAUUAAAAUACUAAUAAACUAAUAUUUAUUUGUUUAUUUAAUCUAAAAUAUCUCCAACAUCAUCAUUAUCUUCUAGAUUUCUCUCUCUUCUAAUUGACCAUUUUGCCCUUCAUGAUAUUUUAAAAUUCCAUCCUUGAGUCAUCACUUAAUUUCGUAAAAUUUCAAUUUAGUCCCUCAAAAUUCCUCACCUUUUUUCAAUUUAGUCCUAAUACAUCCAUUUUCCUUAGUUUCUAGAUCAUUCCACCCUUAAAAUAUUUACACCAUUGGUCCUUCAAUUUUUUCAUAUUUACACUUUAACCCCUCAAUUUUUGAGUAUUUACUCUUGGGCAACAAAAUUUUUACGAUUUAAUCCUUUCUUGAGGUAAUAUGUCAUAAUAUACUUCCCAAUGUUGACAUAACUCCAAAAUUCCCUUUUUUGUCGCUUUAUUUCCUUAUUUUUUUAUAUCAAAGAUAAUAUCUUACUGUAAAAAUUUUUUUGGGGGGUAUUACAUUUCUCUCCCCCUCAAAAUAAAUUUCGUCCUCGAAAUUUCCUUAUUUUCUUUUGAUCAUGAACUUAUUUUUUCUUUAAUUCUAUAGUUCAUUUUUUUUGCAUAUAUUUACUUAGCUUAUCAUUUGUGUCUAUUCUUUAUUCUUUCAUUUCACAAUUUAUUUUUAAUUUAAUAUUUCAAACAUGAAUCAGAGAUAAACUUUUACCUUGUAACUAAAAUUAUUUACCUUUUUACCUGAGGCCCAGUGGACUAAAUAGAACACGUAGGAUAUAUGAAAUUGAUACAGAAGUGCUCUGUUAUACAUCAUUAAACAGAGAGCACUAAAGUGUUAUACGGGAGCAUAAAUGUGCUAAUAAUUGGAGAGCACUAGCGUGCUAUUAAUCAGAGAGUGCGCUAAGGUUCCUUAAUGAUAUACUACUAAUAUCCUAAUAGUUCUAAUCUCAUCUACUUGGGCAAAUUAUAUCAUGCAUGCAUACGACUUUUACACUUUGCGCAUAAUGCUUUUACAUACUUUACAAUUUAAACCUUGUACCAAUGAUUCGUAUAUUUAUACCUUCUCUACCUUUAAUACAUGUAAUAUAUUUCAAAAUUCACUAAUAAUCCAUAUAUAUCAUGUACUUCAUAUAUCAUUUUUACAUAUUAUGCAAUUUAGUCAUCAGCGCAAUAUUUCUUGUAGCAAUAUGUUUUUCUUUUAAUGACACAUAUAACAUUCAUCAUCGACAUGUAUUAUAAAACAUUUAUUCAUACUUUCAUGAGUUCCAAUUCAUCCUAAUCAAUUUUUUUUACUCAUAUACUUGAGUAUCACUUUCAACAUUAUCAGAAUUAGCUCGGUUAGGAAAACAUCUCUGUUUAUAAGUAAAACAAUUCUCAUCAGACUCGAGAGAUAUCACACUAUCACAGGUUACAUAAUGGCAUGCAUUUCUAGACUUCACAUAAGCUACGUUUGGUCCAAGAACCGACUAAAUCGUAGCUCUGAUACCAAUAAAUGUAACACUCUUAACCCGAAUCCAUUCUGACAUUGUCUCACAAAAUUUAUUAUAUCUCAUAGUUUACAAUUCUAUUACUUACACCAUUUCUUCCAUGAGAAACUAGACUCAAUAAGCUUUAAUUCUAUAUUUUAUUCAUACUCUAAUUCGAUUUUCAUAAUUUAUGGUGAUUUUUCAAAGUGAGCCUACUGUUGCUGUCCAAAACUAUUUUAGUACAAGAUGUUUAUUACCAUGUUUAUAACACCCUUAUUUUCUUUCGCUACACUAUUUCUCAUCCCUUUCUCUUAUUUUCUGUUCACUAACGUAUUAAGAACAUAGGACCAUAUAUACAAAAACUUUACAUUAACAUCAUUUCCAUACUUUUUCAAUAAUAUCAAACUUAAAAAUAUACUAAAAUCUUGAUGUACUUACCUUGUCAUAUUGAUUUCAAUCUUUAACUUGAUUUUCUCUCUCCUCCAGCUUCUAUUUCUUGAAUCUAACUUGAUAUUAUAGCUCCCCAUAGUCUCCUUGUAAUCUUUCUCUCUUGAUGGAUAUGGAAAUUCUUUUGAUUUCUAGAUGAAAAUAGUGAAUUUUUGGUGGAAGGACUAAAUUGUAAAGAAAGCAAAACUUUCUUUCUUUUCUCCUCUUAACGUGAAUUGCAUGGAAAAGAUGGUAGGUUGGUUCCUUUUCAUCUUUCUUUCCACAUAUAUAUACUAAAUAAUAAAAUAAUAAAAUAUCAUUUAAAAAUCAAAUUAAAAUACUAAUAAACUAAUAUUUAUUUAUUUAUUUAAUCUAAAAUAUCUCCAACAUCAUCAUUAUCUUCUAGAUUUCUCUCUCUUCUAAUUGACCAUUUUGCCCUUCAUGAUAUUUUAAAAUUCCAUCCUUGAGUCAUCACUUAAUUUCGUAAAAUUGCAAUUUAGUCCCUCAAAAUUCUUCACCUUUUUUCAAUUUAGUCCUAAUACAUCCAUUUUCCUUAGUUUCUAUAUCAUCCCACCCUUAAAGUAUUUACACCAUUGGUCCUUCAACUUUUUCAUAUUUACACUUUAACCCCUCAAUUUUUGAGUAUUUACUCUUGGGCAACAAAAUUUUUACGAUUUAAUCAUUUCUUGAGGUAAUAUGUCAUAAUAUACUUCCCAAUGUUGACAUAACUCCAAAAUUUCCCUUUUUGUCGCUUUAUUUCCUUAUUUUUUUAUAUCAAAGAUAAUAUCUUAGUGUAAAAAAAAAUUUUUUGGGUAUUACAGGAACAGAGUGGUGUGUAGAGGCUGGAUUGGGUAGGAUUUCUAACUGCAUAUCUACACUAAUUAAUGAUUUUGUAUUGUUACUACAUCGAUUAAUGAUAUUACAUACUGUUUACUGCAUGACUGAUAUUUGUUGCUGUUAUGGGCCAAGGCCCCACUGAUACUAUUACUGAAAUUGGGCAAAUGCCCUAUUGAUUAUUGGUAUUGUGAUGGGCUCAAGCCCAAUCGUUUAAUGUUACGGGAAAGGGCUUAGGCCCACACUGAACUGGACUGUUACUAUAACAGGCUCAGGCCCAAACUGUAUUUAUCUAUUGUUUAAUUGACUACUUACUUGUUAGGGGAUUGCACACUGAGUUUUCGUAAACUCAACCCGUUGUUUAACUGUACAGGUAAUCCCUAGUUGUAGUAGGGUCAGUGCUGCGAGGGACUCGAUGAUGGCCACACAACUGCAUCAGCUUUUGUUUUUAGCCUUUGAUUUAUAAGAAACUGAAUUUGGGUAUUUUUAUGUAAAAAGGCCUCUUUAAAGUUAUAAACUUUAAAUUGGGGUUUUUAUUUAUUUAGUUUGAUAUAAACUACUAGUUGUAGAAAAAGACGGGUUUUCAAAAGGUAAAUGUUUUCAAAGUUUCAAAAGGUAAAUGUUUUCAAAGACACCACGUUUUCGCAACAUUUCUAAAAAAAAACUUCCGCAAUGAAUGAGAUUUUGGAAAAUUUAUAACGUUUUAAAAGUGAUUAGCUUUUAAUGAUGCAUGCUUGGAAAUGAACAACCCGUUUUGGAAUCAUAGUUUAACAGCAAAAUGAUUAAUUGAUUUUAAAGAUUUCAACGACAACAAGUUUUACGCUAAACACCUUAAAGUGACACCGCCAGAUUCAACCAUAACUCCUAGGCCGGGUUUGGGGUGUUACAAUGUGUUUCAACCCUAUUAUUAGAAACUGAUACCCUAUUAUUAGAAACUGAUAAUGGAAACACAACUUUUAAUUAGAAACCUCUAAUUUUAAAAUUCAAUAGGUAAAAGCAAGUUAUCGUUAAGUGCCUGUGAUACGCUAGUAAAACUCAUUCUAGAAAAAAAAGUUUAAUGGAAACAAUUGUUAUCCAUUGCGUAUAGAGGAUGAAUUUGAAUACUAUUAAUUAAGUUCAUUGUUUAUUGUUUAAAUGUCUAAAGUAAGGGAGACAUUAAAAGAACUCUACCUUUAUAAACAUAAGAAGUGGUGCCACUUCAACAAGUAAAGGUAGGGUCUCUCUUGUAAAUGUUUAUUAUGAACAAGAUAAGCACAUGAUCAUUUUAGUGCUAAAAGUGAACAACCUCUGAUAGAAAUAUAAACGAAUAUUAUGUAUAGUGUAUUUCAACUUCUAAUACUAGGAGUUGUGGUUCAAUCUUCGGACACCGACAACUUAUUAAAACUUUGAAAAGCAUCCGCUUAUUGAUGGUUCAUAUUGAGAGGUAUCAUCUUUAAUGCAUAAUAUUUGUUUGAGUGAAUGACCAUAAAGUAUGGUACCAACAUUUAAACUAAGGGUGAUUGUUAGUAGUUUAUAAUUUUGGCAGUAAAAAUAUUUUAUUAUGUAGAAAAGUCUAAUAAAUUAUAAUUAUUGGUCAAAUAGUUGUGUUGUAAAGACAAUUUUUGUAUGUAAAGUUGUCUUAUAAACUUUAUGUAAAGUUGUGUUGUAAAACAACAAAAUUAUAUGAAAAUGUAUCUUAUUAAAAGAUACAUCCAUAUGAAAGGGUAUCUCAUGAAAAGAUACACCUAUUAGAUGUCUAUAUAAAAGAUUUUUCUGUUAGUUAUUUAAAUUGUUUUGCUUGGAGUGUUGAGGGCUUUGUUGUAUCUUGAAGGUAUUUUAAAAUCUUAAAGAAAGUGCUCUACACACCUUAAAGUCAUUAUAUUUUAUAACAUUAUUUUAUUUUUCUAACUUUUAUUUUCCUAUUAUUUAUUUUUCUAACAGCUAGAAUAUAGGAAAAUUAUUAUGUUUCUAGCUAUAUAUUGAAUACAAGUAUGUUGGUGUUUAGAACUCGAACUUUGAUGGUUGAUCGAGAGAUUUGAAGCAGAAAGAAGAGACGGGAAGUUUUAAGUAGAAAAAUAAUUGAAGACUGGAAUAUAUAAUUGAUUUGCACCUCAACUAUUUAAAUACAAAAGUUCAAGCUAAAAAUAGAAAAAAAAAGUUCUAAAAAUCUGCUAAAAAUCUGGUAACAAAAUAGCAAACAAAUCAAAAAUCUAAUCUCCUAAAGUCAAGGAGAAUUAUUCAAACUUAGUAACAGAAAAAAUUUAAAUGGCAGCAAUCUUAAACACAUGAUCUUAACACUCCUCCUUGUUUAGAUGCUACAAACUCCAAGUUUCUUCCUGAAGCUUUCAAACUUGCUAAGUGGCAAUGGUUUGGUGAAGAUAUCUGCAAUUUGAUCUUCAGAUUUGUAGUAACAAAGAGACACAUCACCACUCUUUUAAACUUCUCGAACAAAAAAUAACUUGAUGUUAAAAUGCUUAGUCUUCCCAUGAAAGACUGGAUUGUUAGAGAUUGCAAUGGCAGCCUGGUUAUCAACUAGAAUCUUUGUGCUUUGCUUCUACUCCAUGUUUAGAUCAACAAGAAUCUUCCUUAACCAGAGAGCUUGGUUAACUGUUGCUGUUGCAGCCAUAAAUUCUGCCUCAACAGUGGAUUGAGCUACAGUUUCUUGCUUCUUCGAGCUCCAAGAGAACAUGCCUGAUCCAAGGCAAAAACAAUAACCAGAGGUACUCUUCAUAUCAUCAGUUAAGCCACCCCAAUCACUGUUAGAGAAACCAAUCAACUUCAAUUCCCUAUGCUUUAAAAACUUUACUCCAUAAUUCCAGGUCCCCUUGAUGUAUCUGAUAACUCUUUUUGCAGCUCUCAUGUGAGUCUCAUUGGGACAAUGCAUGAAUCUGGAGAGAAUACUUACAGCAUUCAAGAUGUCGAGUCUGGUUGUUGUUAAGUACAUUAGACAACCUACCAAACUCCUGAACUCAGCUUCAAUGACUUUGGCAGAACCAUCAUCUUUGAUUAGCUUCUCUUUUUGAUUCAUAGGAGUACUCAUUGCUUUGCAAUCUUCCAUAUGGAAUUUUCUAAGUAUCUCCUUUGCAUACUUUCUUUGACAGAUGAACACUUCAUCUUGGCUUUAUUUGAUCUCAAUGCCAAGGAAAUAAGACAUCAGAUCAAGGUCUGUCAUUUCGAAGACAUUAUGCAUUUCCAAUUUAAACUGAUUAACUUGAUCGAUAUUGCUCCUUGUAAUCAAUAAGUACAAAUAAGCAAGCUUUUUCCUUUGAUUUCCUUAUCUUCUUUUCUUUUUGUGCUUUAAUCUGUGCCACAGUAGGAUUUGCUGGAAGAGGUGGGACCUCGUAAUCCUCUUCUACAGGUUCCCAAAGAUCCAAAGCCUCUAUGUAAGUCUCCAUGCGAACUGCCUACAUCUGGUAAUUGUCUCCAUCGAAGACUGGUGGUGCAGCAACUGAAAAACUGGACCCUCCUUCCAUAUUAACACGCAAAUAACCUAACAAAUCCCUCAAGAAAAUAGCUCUGAUACCAAUUUGUUGGUGUUUAGAACUCGAACUUUGAUGGUUGAUCGAGAGAUUUGAAGCAGAAAGAAGAGACGGGAAGUUUUAAGUAGAAAAAUAAUUGAAGACUGGAAUAUAUAAUUGAUUUGCACCUCAACUAUUUAAAUACAAAAGUUCAAGCUAAAAAUAGAAAAAAAAUGUUUUAAAAAUCUGCUAAAAAUCUGGUAACAAAAUAGCAAACAAAUAAAAAAUCUAAUCUCCUAAAAUCAAGAAGAAUUAUUCAAACUUAGUAACAGAAAAAAUUUAAAUGGCAGCAAUCUUAAACCCAUGAUCUUAACAAAGUACUACUUGGAAGCCAACACCCACAAACAUGAUAAAAGUUAAUUUUGAUGAGAGUUUUGACAUGGAAGCAAGAAAUGAGGAAGAGGGUAGUUAUGCAGCAUUGUGAUGAUUUUUUAGUCUGACUAUGCAACCAUCCAAUUUAGGGUGCAUUCUCCAUUGUGGUGAAAAAGCACUUAAAGAACAUUUGGUUUUUGCACUUAAAAUGUGAUGGAAAAAUGUUUUUCCACCCAAAUACAAAAACUAGGAUAUAAAUGUUUUUGACUUUUAGCUUUUAUGUUUGGAAGUGAAAAUUAUCAAAAUAUCAUUAUUUAUAUUAACUAUUUAAAUGGUAUAUAAAAAUUAGAUUAAUUUAUAUUUUAUAUAUCAUUAUAUUAAAUUAUUUAAAUAUUAUUUAUUAUUAUAUAUUUUAAUAAUUUAUAUAUCAUCUAUUUUACAAAUAAUUUAUAUUAAUUACUUAAAAAAUAUUUGGAACUUAUAUUUCAUGUAUCAUUAUAUUAAAUUAUUUAAAUAUCACAUAAUUUAACUAAUUUUUUACUUUCCACUAUCAUGUCUAAAGAAAAGGAUAUUUUAACUUUUAACAAGAAUUUUUUGUAGCAAUGGAGAACACCAAAAAUUAAUAAACACACUUUUUCAUAGUAAUUUUCAACCACACUUUUCAACCGCAACCCUAAUGAAGAAUUAAUCCUUACUAAAGUUACCGAAGCACUAGCUUCCACCGUAGCCAUUGAAAUGGCGCUCCAAUUGGGAUUGCAACACAUUAUUAUUAAAGGAGAUGCUCUCCAAGUGGUUUCGGAGUUGAAGGAAGACAAAGGAGACCUACCAACAACCGGACCUUGAUAGCAAAGAGUUGAAUACUUGCUAAACAGGUUCAGCAAUGUAGGUUUCAACACAGGAAGAGGCAUGCUAAUGAGGUGGCACAUCAUCUGACCAAACAGGGCCUUAAUUGUUUUCCAUCUUUUGUUCAUAUGUUUGUUUUGAAAAGGUAAAACAAAUCCUCACCUAUUGAUGUUAGAACGGUUGAAUUGCUAAAAGCAUGCUGCAUGCAUAACCAUGCUUUAGGUUAGGCUUCAAAUUAAAUAAAUUUUAAAUUAUUUUUAUUUAAAUUUAAUUAUAAAAAUAAAUUAAUAUCAAUAGAAAAUUAUAUAAAAUUUUAAGAUAUUUUAUUUUUCAAUAAUAAAACGAAUCAUUCACCAAACCUAAUUCUUCAAUUUCUUUUUAAUUAGAUCACAACUCAAGCCAAGCUAACCAAUAAACACCCAAAAUCUACCAUCAUUUUCAUUUUCAUUUUUUUUUCUUUUGUGACAAAGUAGACAGAAGAUUCGGUUUGGAUAAGCUCUACGUUAUUAAGUCAAAAGCUGAAGUAAUUUUAAUCAUAAAUUGUUUUAUUUGUCUAUAAUGCAAAACAAUGACCCAGUUAGUACAAUAAAGCUUUAACUUUGUGGAACAUUUCAGUCCAAAAAAAAAAAAAAAAAGAAUUGUGGAAAUUUUAGAGCAGUUGACCAUUUCUUCGGAAUUAGUUUUCUCACUUCUUGUCCAUAUUCCAUGUAUAUUAUUUCAAGAAAUUAGGUUUAGAAAUUUGCAUAAUUCAACCAUUGAACUAAUAAAUAUUAAACAAAAAUUGGGUGGCAAAAAAAAUCUUAUUAAAAUCAUAUACUAUUACUAAAAUUUAUGAUUAAAUUAGUGUCACGAGUUAACGGGACAUUAACAAAUUAUAUUAUUUGAGGGUAUUUUAAUCUUUUUAUUAAAAAAGAUGAUGUCUCAAAUUAACUCACAAUCUAAUCUAAUUUUUCAUUUUAAUAUUGUAAAUAUUUCAUGUUUUAUUAUUAAUUUGUUUCAAAUUAUACAUUUCAUUAUUUAUUUUAUGUUAUUUUUAAACACAUCUGUAUUCUAAGUACCUAAUUUUCACUUAUGGGUAUCAGAGGCGAAUCUAGGGAGGCUGAUAGGGGUCUCGGUCCCCUUAAAAUAGAAAAUUAUUAUUUAAGCCAUUUAGAAAAUUUUAAAAUUUUAAAUUAGUAAAUGUAAAAUUACACUUUGACCCCUCUAAAAUUAUAAAAAUUUGAUUUAAUCCUUUAAAAAUUAUAAAGAUAUAAACUAUUAAAAAUAAAAAUUUCAUUUCGGCCCUGCCUAAAAAAUUUUUUUGACUUCACCCCUAAAGUAUGAUAGAGUUUCUAGUAUGAAUAAUUUUCUUUGGAAGUGUUAAACAAACAAAGGAGUUAAGUAAACAGUAGUUUUCAUACAGAAAUAUUCGGCGUUGAUGUUUCCCUUUCGAAUAAUUAAAUUAAGACUUAGGAAAAGGGAAAACAAUGAAAAAGAAACUAAAAUUGAGCUUAAUUUAUGGAGUUGGGUUAAAAUUUUAAUAUUUAAAUAUAAAAAUUCUAAUAAUUUGAUCUGGUCCGUUUCAUCUAGCAGACUAAUAAUAAAUCUUAAAACAUAUUAUAUUUUAAUUUAAAUAAAACCAAAACUAAUACACUUGACCUACAUCUACAUGUGAUCUAUGCUUCAUUUAAAUUAGUCUAAAUUAGACGAGAUCUUGAUUAGGAGUCAUUUAUUUAUAUUAUAAGUCCCUGAAACAUGCAAAACUUACAUUUAAAAAUUAAUAUUUUUACGUUGUUGUUAGAAUAUAGGGUUUGUUAAUGUUUUCGUGUGAAGUCAGCUGUUGACAUUACCAAUCAGAUAAUGAAAAGGAAACAUGGCAAUUAUUCCAUCCUAAUUGUCACCAAAUUAAGUUAAUCCAAAAAUUACCAAACGUUUAGUACUUCAAUGGUAGAGUCAGCUCUUUCUUCUAGUCUAUCAAAAAAAGUCAAUUUAACCCCUAACUCUUGGAUGGAAAAGUUUUUGCUAUGAACUUGUUGAAGUGAAUCUCAUGUGAUAUAAACGCAUCGCAAUCUCCGUGUGUAACUAAAAAUAUUUGAGAGAUUGAAUAAUUUAAAGGGGAAAAAAAAAGAAUUUACUCCCUCCACUAACAAAUUACUCUUGCCAACGUAUGUAUGAAAGUAAACACCUUUAAUUAAUCAACAAAUGCUAAAGUUCGAGGUUUAGAAUUAAUUAAAUACCAAUAUAAAUAGUUAAUUACUUUUUUGAAAUAAGGAUAAAUCAGUUUGUGAGGUUUGAAUUUUUUGUAUCUUAACAAUUGUUCUGACUUUAGAGUUUGAAGGUUUUUUUUUUAUCCAAAUUAACCUAUGAACUUAGUAAUUUGUCUCUCAUUAAGGUUUAAAUUUUUUAUUUAUCUAAGUUAAUUCUUAAAAAUCUUGAAAUUCGAGAAUAAUUGUCAAGUUAAAAAAAUUUAGAUUUCAAUAUGAGAAUAAUCUACUAGUUCGUAACCUUAAUAUAAAAACAAUUGUUAAGUUGAAAACUUAAUUUAAAAACAAAUUCAAACCCUUCUUAAGUUUACGAUUUAACCCUUUGAAAUAUUGCGUUAACUAGUAAGAGUAAGAAUUAUUUUGUGUUGAUGAUUAAAUAAAUAUUUAAGUGGAGAUCAAGUUUUACCUCAUUUGUCAAUUGUCAGGUGAAGAAUAUAUACCCCUAAAGGCCUAUCAAAAACGGACCUAUCUCUAUCUAUAUAUCUUAACUAAUUUACUAUUCAUUUUUAAUGAAAAUCAAUAAAUCAAUGAAAACGUUAUAAAAAGAAAACUACGUGAAUAAAUUAUAUGUGUAAAAUUGAAAUAUUUCUUAUUUUAGUACAAUGGUAAGGAACAUUACAUUUUUAAGGAAAUGAUGUCAGGUUCAAACCUUAAAGAUAAUAUUCUUCUUCUUGAGAAGAACAAUCCCAAACUCCAAAAUGAACCCUUAUGAAUUAUAUAAAAAAAUUUUGAAAUAUUUCUAUAAAAUAUCAUUAAAGUUUUUUAUUUAAAAAAUGUUAUGGGUAUACUUUUACCUCUUGUAAAAAAGUCUUUCAUUUCUCAAUUCUUAUGGCAUAGUAAAUUUAUCAUUAAUUUUCAUCUUUAGGUAAAAAAAAUGGUUAUUAUUUGUGUAUUAAAUAAUUGUUAGGAUAAAUUUUAAAAUUGUAUAUGAAUUUUGGUUUAAUGUUAAUUAUAUACAUUAAUUUUAAUUUUAUGUAAUUUUAUAAAUGAAAUUUUAAUUUGAUCCAAUUCUAACAAAUUAUUAACACAGUUAUUGAUAUAACAUCAUUUUAUGUUUAUAUGCUAUAUACAGAAAUAAUUAUGUUUAUUCAAUAUAAAAAUAAAUUGAUGUAUUUAUUUCUUUAAACAUAUAUGAUUGAAUCAAAAUUAAAACAUCGUGUAUAUAUUUGAACCACAAUUAAAAUUUUACAUAUAAAAUUACAUAAAAUUACAAUUUAUAUACGUAAUAAACUAAAAUUCAUAUAUAAUUUUAAGAUUUAUGUCCACAAUUCUCUAAAGCUAAACGGUGAUGAUUACCAUGGAAAUUCAAUGUACUUAACUAAUUGGUUGAUAGGAACAGGCAUGAUGAAAUCCAUGAUGGGAAGAGAGAGAAUUCAAAAACUGGAAUGCCCCCAUUAAUCCAUGCAAAUAAACUUUUUCGGUAUUACAUCAUAAUUCAUUUAAUUUUAUCAUCAUCUCUAUGCCAUAACCAUGUUUAAAGUAAAAUACUUAUAUAAAUUGAGACAUUAAUAGUUUGUAUUAUAUAAAUUAUGACAUCCAUAUAUCCAUAUUAUAAUUUUUAUGAAAAAUUAGAGCUGGCAGAUAAAAAAUGGCUUACUGAUCAAUGAAAAAUAAACUUUAUUUCUUGUAAAUUGACUUAUCCUUUUAAAAAGUAUAAAUAUUUUUUUAAAAUUCAUUUAUGAGUAAUUUUAUUAUUAUAAAAAUUAAUUUUGCAAAGUCUAAUAUUAUUAUAUUAAUAAUUUUAUUUUAAAACUAUUUAAAAAUACUAAUAUCAAAUAUUAUAAUGUUGAAUCCUAGUAACAUACAUAUUAAAUUAUUUAAAUUAUGUAAUAUUGCAAUUUUAUUUUAAUACUAAAUUUUAACAACAAUAAUUUUAAAUUUUAGAUCAUAUUUUUAAUAUAUUAUUGAAAAAUAUUUAUAUUAAUAUUUUAAUAAUAAAUAUAUAUAUUAAAAUUUAUAAAUAUUUAAUAAUAAAUGUUUUAUAGUAUAAAAUAUGAAUAUUUUAAUUAUAUAGAUAUGAGCAUUUGUUUAAAUCAUGUUUAGUUUCAUUUAUCUCCCAACUAUAAUGUGUUAUUAUACACCGUCAUAUAUAUAAUAUAUGUAAUUUAAGCAUUGUUUAUUAUUAAAUUUAUAUAUGAUAUUAAUUAUUAUAAAAUAUUAUCUUAUUAUAAAAGAAAUUCUAAUUAUCAAAAAGAAAUGUUACUUUAAUAUUUUGUAACAAGUAUAUUUAUGUUGGGCUUGUUUCAAUAAUAACUUUAAAAUGAUUUUAGAAAAAAAAUUGUCAAAUAAUAAAAAAAUAUUUUAAGCAAAAUAAUUCAAACACAAAAAACUAUCAACUUUUCCAUAAAAUCAAUCCAAUUUUAAGAAAACAUUUUGUGAAAAUUGUUUUAGGUAAAACAAAAGGAACCUAUAUUUUAUAUAGUAUUUGAAAAGUUGUUGUAUCUAGAAUUAUUAUCUUAAAUAUUUUUUUAGGUCUAAUUUUAAAUUUCAUCCCUUUAUGAAAAUUGAGAAGUUAAAUUUUCUAUUUUACUUUAUCAGUCUGUGCUUGAUUGUUUAUUAAUUUGUCGUGUAUAAAUGGUUAAAUUAUUGAUUUUUGUUAAUUACUAGCAUGUAAAUUGUCAAACUACUUGUUCUCAAGGGAACGGUAAAGUUUAAUAGUAUUAUCAAUUUAGAACAAUUUUUGAGUUUUUUCUUUUAUUUUUCAUGUUCGAGUCCAUAAUUACUCCUUCUAAUAAUGUCGUCUUUAAAGUUUGAGUUCGAAUUCAAAUUCUCUUUUUGGAAGUACAAUAUGCCUUAUAAUUAUACCUAAUACUUUUGAUUUUUGUAAAAUAUAAGAAUCAAAAUUGUGUAGUAGGAUUAAUUUCUAGAUUUUUUAAAUUUAAAAUUUAUAAUAUUAUCAAUCGCAUCACACACAAAACCAAAGAACAAGAGAAUCUAAAAAACACGUGGACCAUUAAUUUAGGAAUGGACAUUAUAUUUUAUUAGUGGAAUAAACUCAUGCAAAAUGGUUGGAAAACACAUACAGGAUUAUAUAUACUAAUCAUUUUUAUUAUUAAGCAGAAUCGGAAAUAAAUAAAUACGAGCGAAACCACUGAAUAAUACAGCAUUGAAAUGCAAUUUGUCUACAUCAUUAUUGUUCUUCACUUCAAACGCGGAGACUAGUCUAGGCUCCCAAUCUUUUGCUUUAUCUCUCUAGAUAUAUCCUUUUCAAACUAUCUUUUUGUAGCUUUAUUUGCAUCACAGCAUUAUCUUUUCCUGCAAACAACUGUUCAAUGAUUAAAACAUGCAAAACAUUCUGAAAUAAUGCACCCUUACCAGAUGACAAAAAAAAAAAAAGAUUCUAAUGUAUCUUACCUUGGAUUGGAGCACGGUCAAAGCCGUGGCUUAGUAGUGGUGAGGAGGAGGGGGUGAAGCGUAGACAUAAUGGGGUGGUGGUGGUGGAGGAGACUUGUAUUUGUAAACUGGAGGAGGAGGUGGUGGAGACUUGUACUUGUAAGGGUGCUUGGGGGGUGAUGGUGGGGGUGGUGGGGGUGACUUGUACUUGUAGGGGUGCUUGGGUGGUGACGGUGGGGGUGGGGACUUGUACUUGUAAGGAUGCUUGGGGGGUGAUGGUGGUGGUGGUGGAGGUGACUUGUACUUGUAGGGGUGCUUGGGUGGUGACGGUGGGGGUGGGGACUUGUACUUGUAAGGGUGCUUGGGUGGUGACGGUGGUGGUGGUGGGGGGGACUUGUACUUGUAGGGAUGCUUUGGUGGGGAUGGUGGUGGUGGUGGUGGGGACUUGUACUUGUAGGGAUGCUUAGGUGGUGAUGGUGGUGGUGGUGGAGACUUGUAUUUGUAAGGAUGCUUUGGUGGUGAUGGUGGUGGAGGUGGUGGGGACUUGUACUUGUAAGGGUGCUUGGGUGGUGAUGGAGGUGGAGGUGGUGGAGACUUAUACUUGUAAACUGGAGGUGGUGGGGGUGGAGACUUGUACUUGUAAGGGUGCUUGGGUGGUGACGGAGGUGGAGGUGGUGGAGACUUAUACUUGUAAACUGGAGGUGGUGGGGGUGGAGACUUGUACUUGUAAGGGUGCUUGGGUGGUGAUGGUGGGGGUGGGGGUGGCGACUUGUACUUGUAGGGGUGUUUAGGUGGUGAUGGUGGUGGUGGUGGUGGUGGUGGGGACUUGUACUUGUAAGGAUGCUUGGGUGGUGAUGGUGGUGGAGGAGACUUGUACUUGUAAGGAUGCUUGGGUGGUGAUGGUGGUGGAGGUGGUGGAGACUUAUACUUGUAAACAGGAGUUGGUGGGGGAGGAGAUUUGUACUUGUAAGGUUUCUUGUGUGGUGGUGGUGGUGGAGGAGAGUAGAUCGGAGGAG
rnacentral:lncRNA from 1 species